CCCAAUCGCUGAGUUGUUGUAUAGGGUAAAAAAGAAACCUCCGCCUCGACGUCUCCCUGACCCCACCGGCGCUGGUGUGCGUGCCGCAAUCACCGCUGCCUCCGGCUUCGCAAACUACUAUGAGAGGGAGGCUACAUCUUCCCAGGUAUGUAUAUGCCAAAUAUAUAUUUGUGCAAGCUCAUGUAUGUGCUGUUUUUUGCUUUUUGAAAGUCAAAUUUAUGUGUGCCCAUGCUCAUAUGUGCUGUUUUUGGUACCCAAAUGUCAAAUAUAUGUUUGUGCAAGCUCAUGUGUGUGCUCUUUUUGGUAUCCAAAUGUCAAAUAUAUGUUUGUGCAAGCUCAUGUGUGUGCUGUUUUUGCUAUCCAAAAGUCAAAUAUAUGUUUGUGCAAGCUCAUGGGUGUGCUGUUUUUGCUAUACAAAUGUCAAAUAUAUGUGUGUCCAAGCUCAUGUGUGUGUUGUUUUUGUGUGCUAGGCAAUGGAGCAUGAUAAGCAAGCGGAGGAGGAUCAUGAAGAGGUGGAAGAGGAUGAGGAGGAGGACAAGGAAGAGCAAGAUACUUUGUUUGAGGUGCCGCCCGGGGCUGGUGACAAAUCAGAUUCGGAUGGGUUUGUGGAUAGUGAAGAAGAAGCCUUCGAAGGUGAUGACAUGUCCGAGGAUGGUCUAGGCCUUGGUCCUACGCCUCAAGAGCAAGAAACUGUACUUCUUAGUUCGAGUGAGGAUGAAGCAAGAAAAGUCCAACGAAAGAGUGCCAAGAAGCGAAAAGGUCAAGCUCCUUCGAGGUUGAGGUCGGCGGUUUGGACCUUCUUUCAUAAGGUAGAGGUGCCAUCGAAAGAAGGUUUGAUGGAGUUGAAGGCACAAUGUAAUUAUUGUGACAAUCAAUAUGCAUAUGUCCAAGGUGGAAGCACCUCAUCCAUGGGAAGACAUAUGGACACAUGUAAGAAUUACAAGGACAAGGUUAAUAGGGAUCUCAUCCAAGCUACUCUAUUUUUUAGAAAAACCAAUGCAACAAGUGGUCCAGCUGUCCAAUUCAUUGAGUAUGAUAAGGACCUCAUAAAGGAGGUCAUGGCAAAGAUGAUUUGCGUCCAUGAGUACUCAUUUAGAAUGGUUGAACAUAAAUGGUUCAACAUUCUCAUGAAGUGCUUGAAUCCAAACUAUCAACCCAUUGGAAGGAAGGCAAUAAGAGCUGAAUGCAUGAGGGUUUUCAAGAAAGAAAGGGAGUUGCUUCAAGUUUCACUAAAGGAUGUGGACUUCAUUAGUCUGACAACCGACUUAUGGACUAGCAACCAGACCAUAUCAUAUAUGUGUGUAGUUGCACACUUUAUAGAUAAGGAUUGGAAGAUGCAAACACGUGUUCUUUCUUUCAUAUAUUUGGAUCCUCCUCACUCCAGGCAUGUGAUUUCAGAUGCUAUCUAUGAGUGUGUGACUGAAUGGAAGAUAGAGAAGAAAAUUAUAUCCAUCACACUAGACAAUGCUUCAAACAAUGAUGUUGCGGUCAGAGGUUUGAAGGCAAAGUUUGCUGUUCGGAGAGGUAUAUACUUGCUGUUUUUGUUGUACAUAUGUUCAUAUACUUGCUGUUUUGGUUGAAUAUAUGGUCAUAUUCUUGCUGUUUUUGUAGUACAUAUGCUUUGUUUGUCCAUCACACUAGACAAUGCUUCAAAUAUAUGGUUAUAUGCUUGUUGUUUUUGUUGUACAUAUGUUCAUAUACUUGCUGUUUUGGUUGAAUAUAUGGUCAUAUUCUUGUUGUUUUUGUAGUACAUAUGCUUUGUUUGUCCAAAUAAUGAUAUUUUGGUUUAACACAUGCUCAUAUGUGUGCUGUUUUGGUUGAAUAUAUUGUCAUAUGCUUGUUGGAAAUAUGCCCAAGAGGCAAUAAUAAAAGCAUUAUUAUUAUAUUUCCUUGUUCAUGAUAAUUGUCUUUAUUCAUGCUAUAAUUGUGUUAUCCGAAAAUUGUAAUACAUGUGUGAAUAACAGACACCAACAUGUCCCUAGUAAGCCUCUAGUUGACUAGCUCGUUGAUCAACAGAUAGUCAUGGUUUCCUGACUAUGGACAUUGGAUGUCAUUGAUAACGAGAUCACAUCAUUAGGAGAAUGAUGUGAUGGACAAGACCCAAUCCUAAACAUAGCUUAAAGAUCGUAUAGUUUGUUUGCUAGAGUUUUCCAAUGUCAAGUAUCUUUUCCUUAGACCAUGAGAUCGUGCAACUCCCGGAUACCGUAGGAGUGCUUUGGGUAUACCAAACGUCACAACGUAACUGGGUGACUAUAAAGGUAGACUACGGGUAUCUAUGAAAGUGUCUCUUGGGUUAACACGGAUCAAGACUGGGAUUUGUCACUCUGUAUAAUGGAGAGGUAUCAUUGGGCCCACUCGGUAAUGCAUCAUCAUAAUGAGCUCAAAGUGACCAAGUGUCUGGUCACGGGAUCAUGCAUUACAGUACGAGUAAAGUGACUUGCCGGUAAUGAGAUUGAACGAGGUAUUGGGAUACCGACGAUCGGAUCUCGGGCAAGUAACAUACCGAUUGACAAAGGGGACUGUAUACGGGGUUGCUUGAAUCCUCGACAUCGUGGUUCAUCCGAUGAGAUCAUCGUGGAGUAUGUGGGAACCAACAUGGGUAUCCAGAUCCCACUGUUGGUUAUUGACCGGAGAGUCGUCUCGGUCAUGUCUACAUAUCUCCCGAACCCGUAGGGUCUACACACUUAAGGUUCGGUGACACUAGGGUUGUAGGGAUAUGUAUAUGCAGUAACCCGAAUGUUGUUCGGAGUCCCGGAUGAGAUCCCCGACGUCACGAGGAGUUCCGGAAUGGUCCGGAGGUAAAGAAUUAUAUAUAGAAAGUGUUGUUUCAGCCAUCGGGACAAGUUUCGGGGUCACCGGUAUUGUACCGGGACCACCGGAAGGGUCCCGGGGGUCCACCGGGUGGGUCCACUUGCCCCGGGGGCCACAUGGGCUGUGAGGGGGUGCGCCUUGGCCUACAUGGGCCAAGGGCACGGGCCCCAAGGGGCCCAUGCGCCUAGGGUUUCCAAAGGGGAAGAGUCCCACAAGUGGAAGGCACCCCUAGGUGCCUUGGGGGGAGGGAAACCUCCCUUGGCGGCCGCCCCCCUAGGAGAUUGGAUCUCCUAGGGCCGGUGCCCCCCCCCCUCUAGGCCCUCCUAUAUAUAGUGGGGGAAGGAGGGCUUUUUCAUCCAUGCCUUUGGUUGCCUCCUUCUCCCUCUCCAACACCUCCUCCUCCAUAGCGCUUGGCGAAGCCCUGACGGAGUACUGCAGCUCCAUCACCACCACGCCAUCGUGCUGCUGCUGGAGCCAUCUUCCUCAACCUCUCCUUCCCUCUUGCUGGAUCAAGAAGAAGGAGACGUUACGCUGACCGUACGUGUGUUGAACGCGGAGGUGCCGUCCGUUCGGUGCUAGGAUCUCCGGUGAUUUGGAUCACGUCAUGUUCGACUACCUCAUCCCCGUUCUUUGAACGCUUCCGCUCGCGAUCUACAAAGGUAUGUAGAUGCAUCCGAUCACUCGUUGCUAGAUGAACUCAUAGAUGGAUCUUGGUGAAACCAUAGGAAAAUUUUUGUUUUCUGCAACGUUCCCCAAUAGUGGCAUCAUGAGCUAGGUCUAUGCGUAGUUCUCUUGCGCGAGUAGAACACAAUUUGUUGUGGGCAUAGAUGUUGUCAACUUUCUUGCCGUUACUAGUCUUAUCUUGCUUCAACGGUAUUGUGGGAUGAAGCGGCCCGGACCAACCUUACACGUACGCUUACGUGAGACCGGUUCCAUCGACUAACAUGCACUAGUUGCAUAAGGUGGCUGGCGGGUGUCUGUCUCUCCUACUUUAGUUGGAGUGGAUUCUAUGAAAAGGGUCCUUAUGAAGGGUAAAUAGAAGUUGACAAAUCACGUUGUGGCUUUCACGUAGGUAAGAAAACGUUCUUGCUAGAACCCUAUUGCAGCCACGUAAAACUUGCAACAACAAUUAGAGGACGUCUAACUUGUUUUUGCAGCAAGUGCUUUGUGAUAUGAUAUGGCCAAAGUUGUGAUGAAUGAUGAAUGACAUAUAUGUGAUGUAUGAGAUGUUCAUGCUAUUGUAAUAGGAAUCACGACUUGCAUGUCGAUGAGUAUGACAACCGGCAGGAGCCAUAGGAGUUGUCUUUAUUUUUGUAUGACCUGCGUGUCAUUGAGAAACGCCAUAUAAAUUACUUUACUUUAUUGCUAAACGCGUUAGCCAUAGUAGUAGAAGUAAUAGUUGGCGAGCAACUUCAUGGAGACACAAUGAUGGAGAUCAUGAUGAUGAAGAUCAUGGUGUCAAGCCGGUGACAAGAUGAUCAUGGAGCCCCAAGAUGGAGAUCAAAGGAGCUAUGUGAUAUUGGCCAUAUCAUGUCACUAUUAUUAUUUGAUUGCAUGUGAUGUUUAUCAUGUUUUUGCAUCUUGUUUACUUAGAACGAUGGUAGUAAAUAAGAUGAUCCCUCAUAAUAAUUUCAAGAAAGUGUUCCCCCUAACUAUGCACCGUUGCGACAGUUCGUUGUUUCGAAGCACCACAUGAUGAUCGGGUGUGAUAGAUUCUAACGUUCACAUACAACGGGUGUAAGACAGAUUUACACAUGCAAACACUUAGGUUGACUUGACGAGCCUAGCAUGUGUAUAGACAUGGCCUCGGAACACAGAAGACCGAAAGGUCGAGCAUGAGUCGUAUAGAAGAUACGAUCAACAUGAAGAUGUUCACCGACGUUGACUAGUCCGUCUCACGUGAUGAUCGGACACGGCCUAGUUGACUCGGAUCAUGUUAUACUUAGAUGACUAGAAGAGGGAUGUCUAUCUAAGUGGGAUUUCAUUGAAUAAUUUGAUUAGAUGAACUUAAUUAUCAUGAACUUAGUCUAAAAUCUUUACAAUAUGUCUUAUAGAUCAAAUGGCCAACGUUGUCCUCAACUUCAACGCGUUCCUAGAGAAAACCAAGCUGAAAUACGAUGGCAGCAACUAUACGGACUGGGUCCGGAACCUGAGGAUCAUCCUCAUAGCUGCCAAGAAAGAUUAUGUCCUACAAGCACCGCUAGGUGAUCCACCCGUCCCACAUAACCAAGACGUUAUGAACACUUGGCAGACACGUGCUGAUGACUACUCCCUCGUUCAGUGCGGCAUGCUUUACAGCUUAGAGCCGGGGCUCCAAAAGCGUUUUGAGAGACAUGGAGCAUAUGAGAUGUUCGAAGAGCUGAAAAUGGUUUUUCAAGCUCAUGCCCGAAUCGAGAGAUAUGAGGUCUCCGACAAGUUCUUCAGCUGUAAGAUGGAGGAAAAUAGUUCUGUAGUGAGCACAUACUCACUAUGUCUGGGUUACAUAACCGCUUGACUCAGCUGGGAGUUAAUCUCCCGGAUGACGCGGUCAUUGACAGAAUCCUCCAGUCGCUUCCACCAAGCUACAAGAGCUUUGUGAUGAACUUCAAUAUGCAGGGGAUGCAAAAGACCAUUCCUGAGGUAUUUGCAAUGCUGAAAUCAGCAGAGGUAGAAGUCAAGAAGGAACAUCAAGUGUUGAUGGUAAAUAAAACCACUAAGUUCAAGAAGGGCAAGGGUAAAAAGAACUCCAAGAAGGACGGCAAGGAAGUUGCCGUGCCUAGCAAGAAAGCUGCCGGGAAGAAGCCAAAGAAUGGACCCAAGCCCGAGACUGAGUGCUUUUAUUGCAAGGGAAGUGGUCACUGGAAGCGAAACUGCCCCAAAUACUUAGCGGACAAGAAGGCCGGCAAAACAAAAGGUAUAUGUGAUAUACAUGUAAUUGAUGUAUACCUUACCAGUACUCGUAGUAGCUCUUGGGUAUUUGAUACCGGUGCAGUUUCUCACAUUUGUAACUCAAAGCAGGAGCUGCGGAAUAAGCGGAGACUGGCGAGGGACGAGGUGACGAUGCGCGUCGGGAAUGGUUCCAAGGUCGAUGUGAUCACCGUCGGCACGCUACCUCUACAUUUACCUACGGGAUUAGUUUUGAACCUCAAUAAUUGUUAUUUAGUGCCAAGUCUGAGCAUGAACAUUGUAUCAGGAUCUCGUUUAAUUCGAGAUGGCUACUCAUUUAAAUCCGAGAAUAAUGGUUGUUCCAUUUAUAUGAGAGAUAUGUUUUAUGGUCAUGCUCCUAUGGUGAAUGGUUUAUUCUUAAUGAAUCUCGGGCGUAAUGCUACACAUAUUCAUAGUGUGAGUACCAAAAGAUGUAAGGUUGAUAAUGAUAGUCCCACAUACUUGUGGCACUGCCGCCUUGGUCACAUAGGUGUCAAACGCAUGAAGAAGCUCCAUGCAGAUGGACUUUUAGAGUCUCUUGAUUAUGAAUCAUUUGACACGUGCGAACCAUGCCUCAUGGGUAAAAUGACCAAGACUCCGUUCUCAGGAACAAUGGAGCGAGCAACCAACUUAUUGGAAAUCAUACAUACUGAUGUGUGCGGCCCAAUGAGUGUUGAGGCUCGCGGUGGCUAUCGUUAUGUUCUCACCCUCACUGAUGACUUGAAUAGAUAUGGGUAUGUCUACUUAAUGAAACACAAGUCUGAAACCUUUGAAAAGUUCAAGGAAUUUCAGAGUGAAGUUGAGAAUCAACGUGACAGGAAAAUCAAGUUUCUACGAUCAGAUCGUGGAGGAGAAUACUUGAGUCACGAAUUUGGCACACACUUAAGAAAAUGUGGAAUAGUUUCACAACUCACGCCGCCUGGAACACCUCAGCGUAAUGGUGUGUCCGAACAUCGUAAUCGCACUCUAUUAGAUAUGGUGCGAUCUAUGAUGUCUCUUGCCGAUUUACCGCUAUCUUUUUGGGGCUAUGCUUUAGAGACUGCCGCAUUCACUUUAAAUAGGGCUCCGUCGAAAUCCGUUAAGAUGACACCGUUUGAAUUAUGGUUUGGUAAGAAACCUAAGUUAUCGUUUCUAAAAGUUUGGGGAUGCGAUGCUUAUGUCAAGAAACUUCAACCUGAAAAGCUCGAACCCAAGUCGGAAAAAUGCGUCUUCAUAGGAUACCCUAAAGAAACUGUUGGGUAUACCUUCUACCUCAGAUCCUAAGGCAAGAUCUUUGUUGCCAAGAAUGGAUCCUUUCUAGAGAAGGAGUUUCUCUCGAAAGAAGUAAGUGGGAGGAAAGUAGAACUUGAUGAAGUAUUACCUCUUGAACCGGAAAAUGGCGCAACUCAAGAAAAUGUUCCUGAGGUGCCUGCACCGACUAGAGAGGAAGUUAAUGAUAAUGAUCAAGAUACUUCUGAUCAAGCUCCUACUGAAAUUCGAAGGUCCACAAGGACACGUUCCGCACCAGAGUGGUACGGCAACCCUGUCUUGGAAAUCAUGUUGUUAGACAACGGUGAACCUUCGAACUAUGAAGAAGCGAUGGCGGGCCCGGAUUCCGACAAAUGGCUAGAAGCCAUGAAAUCCGAGAUAGGAUCCAUGUAUGAAAACAAAGUAUGGACUUUGACUGACUUGCCCGUUGAACGGCGAGCCAUAGAAAAUAAAUGGAUCUUUAAGAAGAAGACAGACGCGGAUGGUAAUGUGACCAUCUAUAAAGCUCGGCUUGUCGCUAAGGGUUAUCGACAAGUUCAAGGGGUUGACUACGAUGAGACUUUCUCACCGGUAGCGAAGCUAAAGUCCGUCCGAAUCAUGUUAGCAAUUACCGCAUUCUACGAUUAUGAGAUAUGGCAAAUGGACGUCAAAACGGCAUUCCUUAAUGGUUUCCUUAAGGAAGAAUUGUAUAUGAUGCAGCCGGAAGGUUUUGUCGAUCCUAAGAAUGCUGACAAGGUGUGCAAGCUCCAACGCUCGAUUUAUGGGCUGGUGCAAGCAUCUCGGAGUUGGAACAUUCGCUUUGAUGAGAUGAUCAAAGCGUUUGGGUUUACGCAGACUUGUGGAGAAGCCUGCGUUUACAAGAAAGUGAGUGGGAGCUCUGUAGCAUUUCUCAUAUUAUAUGUAGAUGACAUACUUUUGAUGGGAAAUGAUAUAGAACUCUUGGACAGCAUCAAGGCCUACUUGAAUAAGAGUUUUUCUAUGAAGGACCUUGGUGAAGCUGCUUAUAUAUUAGGCAUCAAGAUCUAUAGAGAUAGAUCAAGACGCCUCAUAGGUCUUUCACAAAGCACAUACCUUGAUAAGAUAUUGAAGAAGUUCAAUAUGGAUCAAUCUAAGAAGGGGUUCUUGCCUGUGUUACAAGGUAUGAAAUUGAGCUCAGCUCAAUGUCCGACCACGGCAGAAGAUAUAAAAGAGAUGAGUGUCAUCCCCUAUGCCUCAGCCAUAAGUUCUAUUAUGUAUGCCAUGCUGUGUACCAGACCUGAUGUAAACCUUGCCGUAAGUUUGGUAGGAAGGUACCAAAGUAAUCCCGUCAAGGAACACUGGAGAGCGGUCAAGAAUAUCCUGAAGUACCUGAAAAGAACUAAGGAAAUGUUUCUCAUUUAUGGAGGUGACGAAGAGCUCGUCAUAAAGGGUUACGUCGACGCUAGCUUCGACACAGAUCUGGAUGACUCUAAGUCACAGACCGGAUACGUGUAUAUUUUGAAUGGUGGGGCAGUAAGCUGGUGCAGUUGCAAGCAGAGCGUCGUGGCGGGAUCUACAUGUGAAGCGGAGUACAUGGCAGCCUCGGAGGCAGCACAUGAAGCAAUAUGGGUGAAGGAGUUCAUCACCGACCUAGGAGUCAUACCCAAUGCGUCGGGGCCAAUCAAACUCUUCUGUGACAACACUGGAGCUAUUGCACUUGCCAAGGAGCCCAGGUUUCACAAGAAGACAAGGCACAUCAAGCGUCGCUUCAACUCCAUUCGUGAAAAUGUUCAAGAUGGAGACAUAGAUAUUUGUAAAGUGCAUACGGACCUGAAUGUAGCAGAUCCGUUGACUAAACCUCUCCCUAGGGCAAAACAUGAUCAACACCAGAAUUCCAUGGGUGUUCGAUUCAUCACAAUGUAACUAGAUUAUUGACUAGUGCAAGUGGGAGACUGUUGGAAAUAUGCCCUAGAGGCAAUAAUAAAAGCAUUAUUAUUAUAUUUCCUUGUUCAUGAUAAUUGUCUUUAUUCAUGCUAUAAUUGUGUUAUCCGGAAAUCGUAAUACAUGUGUGAAUAACAGACACCAACAUGUCCCUAGUAAGCCUCUAGUUGACUAGUUUGUUAAUCAACAGAUAGUCAUGGUUUCCUGACUAUGGACAUUGGAUGUCAUUGAUAACGAGAUCACAUCAUUAGGAGAAUGAUGUGAUGGACAAGACCCAAUCCUAAACAUAGCUUAAAGAUCGUAUAGUUCGUUUGCUAGAGUUUUCCAAUGUCAAGUAUCUUUUCCUUAGACCAUGAGAUCGUGCAACUCCCGGAUACCGUAGGAGUGCUUUGGGUAUACCAAACGUCACAACGUAACUGGGUGACUAUAAAGGUAGACUACGGGUAUCUCCGAAAGUGUCUGUUGGGUUAACACGGAUCAAGACUGGGAUUUGUCACUCCGUAUAACGGAGAGGUAUCACUGGGCCCACUCGGUAAUGCAUCAUCAUAAUGAGCUCAAAGUGACCAAGUGUCUGGUCACGGGAUCAUGCAUUACGGUACGAGUAAAGUGACUUGCCGGUAACGAGAUUGAACGAGGUAUUGGGAUACCGACGAUCGGAUCUCGGGCAAGUAACAUACCGAUUGACAAAGGGAACUGUAUACGGGGUUGCUUGAAUCCUCGACAUCGUGGUUCAUCCGAUGAGAUCAUCGUGGAGUAUGUGGGAGCCAACAUGGGUAUCCAGAUCCCGCUGUUGAUUAUUGACCGGAGAGUCGUCUCGGUCAUGUCUACAUAUCUCCCGAACCCGUAGGGUCUACACACUUAAGGUUCGGUGACACUAGGGUUGUAGGGAUAUGUAUAUGCAGUAACCCAAAUGUUGUUCGGAGUCCCGGAUGAGAUCCCGGACGUCACGAGGAGUUCCGGAAUGGUCCGGAGGUAAAGAAUUAUAUAUAGGAAGUGCUGUUUCGGCCAUCGGGACAAGUUUCGGGGUCACCGGUAUUGUACCGGGACCACCGGAAGGGUCCCGGGGGUCCACCGGGUGGGUCCACCUGCCCCGGGGGCCACAUGGGCUGUGAGGGGGUGCGCCUUGGCCUACAUGGGCCAAGGGCACCGGCCCCAAGGGGCCCAUGCGCCUAGGGUUUCCAAAGGGGAAGAGUCCCACAAGUGGAAGGCACCCCUAGGUGCCUUGGGGGGGAGGGAAACCUCCCUUGGCCGCCGCCCCCCUAGGAGAUUGGAUCUCCUAGGGCCGGCGCCCCCCCCCCCCCUAGGCCCUCCUAUAUAUAGUGGGGGAAGGAGGGCUUUUUCAUCCAUGCCUUUGGUUGCCUCCUUCUCCCUCUCCAACACCUCCUCCUCCUCCAUAGCGCUUGGCGAAGCCCUGACGGAGUACUGCAGCUCCAUCACCACCACGCCGUCGUGCUGCUGCUGGAGCCAUCUUCCUCAAUCUCUCCUUCCCUCUUGCUGGAUCAAGAAGAAGGAGAUGUUACGCUGACCGUACGUGUGUUGAACGCGGAGGUGCCGUCCGUUCGGUGCUAGGAUCUCCGGUGAUUUGGAUCACGUCGUGUUCGACUACCUCAUCCCCGUUCUUUGAACGCUUCCGCUCGCGAUCUACAAAGGUAUGUAGAUGCAUCCGAUCACUCGUUGCUAGAUGAACUCAUAGAUGGAUCUUGGUGAAACCGUCGGAAAAUUUUUGUUUUCUGCAACGUUCCCCAACAAUGCUUGCUGUUUUUUUUAGGUACGGACUUUGAAGCCAAAUAUUUCCAUGUCCGUUGUUGUGCACACAUUAUCAACUUGGUGGUGCAAGAUGGGACAACCAUCAUGGCCCCUUUGAUAGAGAAUUUGAGAGAGACGGUUAAGUAUUUCAAGAAGUCACCGAGUCGCCUCCACAAGUUUGUUGAGACUUGCAAAAUAUUGGGUGUUGAGGUUGGCAACCAUUUGCAUCUUGAUUGUGUCACGCGGUGGAGUUCAACGUACCAGAUGCUUGAUACAGCUUGCCCGUAUAGGGAAGCCUUGUCCUCUUAUGCAGCUUCAAAUGCCAACUAUCAAUGGGAGCCGGAAAAAGAAGAAUGGGACAAGUUUGAAGUUAUUAAGCCAUUGCUCCUCUCUUUAUCUCGUGUGACAACUGCGUUUUCAAGGCAAUUAUAUCCCACCUCCAACAUAUUCUACCCUCACAUUGUCAGCAUCAAGAUUACUUUGAGAAAAGCCAUGGCUCAUGAUGAUGAAUGCUACAAGAAAAUGGGUGAUGCAAUGAUGGAUAAAUUUGACAAGUAUUGGGAUGAGCCGAACAAUGUCAUGGUGCUUGCUACCAUCUUGGACCCAAGGUACAAGAUGAGGUAUGUUGAGUGGUGCUAUCACCAAAUGUAUGAUGUGGGGAAAGCAAAUACUGAGAAGAAUAUUGUGCGCGGAGAGUUGGACACAUUGUAUGAGAAGUUUGUUGCGAAAAAUAAGAAAGCUGAAGAAAGAGCUAGUGGAUCAUCAGCCAAGAACAAUUGCAACACAAGUACCUCGAUGCCACUUAUGGAUUGUGAGUUUCGGUCCUUCUUAUCAGCAACUUCAUCAACACCAUCAAAAAGUGAGCUUAGAAACUAUCUAGAUGACUUGAAUGAGGCAAUGGAUCCUAUGUUCAAUCUUCUUGAUUGGUGGAGGGUAAAUGCACCUAGAUACCCCGUAUUGGCAAUGAUGGCAAAGAGGUUCUUGACUGUCCCGGCUACCUCCGUGUCUUCGGAAUCAACUUUUAGCACGGGUGGAAGAGUUUUAGGUAUGUCUACUUGUUACAUUGGAUGUUAACUUGUCAUCCUAUCCUUGAACUUAGAUAUGUCUACUUGUGUGGUUUUAGAUGACUACAAGAGUUCUCUAAAACCAGAAAUGGUGGAAGCCUUGGUGUGUGGUGCUAGUUAUAUCAAAGGUUCUCACAAGGACUUCAUGUGAUGGUAUGACUCCUAUCUUUUCUUCUAUGGUUUCUGUCUAUUUCUUGUAUGUGGCUAACUUCCAAAUAAUUAGGAGAGAGAUGAAGAUGAGGAGGACGAUGUUGAGAAUAUCAAGUUGCCCAAGAUUGUUGAUGUGGGGGAUAACAACAAUUGGUAACUAUUCUUUUGACAUGUUUUAGUUUUCAUAUCUUUACAUGAUCCCAAUAUGUUUCCAAAUCUGUGUUACAUGUAGAUAAUCGUCAUGUUGGUGUUGCUCUUGCUACUUUGAAGGUGGAUGUCUACAUGAUCUUGUCAUGUGGAUUGUUGAGGGCAACGUGAUCGUCUCGAGCCAUUUCUUUUGUUGUCAUGAACUUCGAAUUAUGUGUUUGUUGUGAUGAAGUUUGGAUUAUGUGUUUGUUGUGAUGAACUACGGUCCUUGAAUGAUGUUGCGUUGAACCAUGCACUUUUAACGAUGUUGUUGUGAACUAGUGAUGAACUAUGAACUUGGUAUUAUGUAGUUUUCGCUAGUCAUUGUUUCGCUGUCAACAUUUUCUCGGUUUUUAUGUCAAAGUGGUAAGUUUUGUGCUAUGCAAAAUUUCUUCGUGUGGCUGUCAAUAUUUGAUGCUUUGCUGUGUAAAGUUCAAAGCAAGUGUUGUCCAAAAAUAGAAAUGCUGGUGAAUUCUUUCUCUCAUAUCUAUUCCAUUAUUACAAUUUUGGUAGAAGAAUUCAUAGACGAAAGCUUAUUUUUCAUUACUAUGAACUUUUCUUAAAAUAAUAGACUGCUGAAUGUUCCACUUUUAGCAAUAUAAACAGUUUGCUUUUCAAAAUAUGGGUUUAAUUGCUGCAAAAAAAAUCAAGACUGGACUAUAUACAGAGGUUCUGUACUUCUGGGGGCAAAUGGCUUUCGAGCCGGCUCGGUAUGAGCCGAGCCAUAGCUGAAGCGAGUCGAGCCGCCUGAAGUCGGCUCGUUGGCUGAGCGAGCCGAGCCGAGCCGCUCCAGAGCGAGCCAAAGCCAGGCUCGGAUCAAGCUCGGCUCGGCUCGGCUCGUGUCCAGUCCUACCGACUAGCCCAGACCCGUCAUCAUGGAUUGCAGGCAGCCAGCGGUCCAGGUUGUCGAGGUGGCUGUAAGUAUCAAGCGCUCUGCCCGACCGUCCAGCAGAGUCACCUAGAGUGUAUGUGUACCUGAGCCUCCGAUCACUCACUUUCUGGGCACGAGAUUUGAGGCCCUGGAUAUCGGUAGCCAUCUUGUGCCGCACCCUCAAUGUUCGCACCAUGUUGAACAUCCUAUGGAGGUAUUCCAGGAGUCCUUGACGGUCUCCAUGAUUCUCGCUGAGGUGAUGGCAGAACCUGUCCAUACAGUCCUCCACAUCAAACGCGGCCUCCCUCACUUGUUUCAUCCAAGUCCUAGUCUGCACGUAUAUGAAUGAGCACAUCAGUUAAUCAUGCCAGUGUUUGUCUCGUCUCAUUACAAGAGACAUGUUUUCCUUGCUAUCAAAGAGUUCAACUAAAAAGAUCCAUCAACUAGCAUUUGCAGUACUUGUUCGUUGUGAUCAUCAUCGUCUGCGAGGUCGCGGAGGCACGCAGUCAUGCUCUCGAGCACAUCCUUGAGCUCCUGGAUCUCCCCACGAAUGCCGCGGAGAAGCGUGUAUUUGGUGGCGAGGAUGUUGCCGAGCUUCCUCAACAGGAUCUGCACGGCGCCGUGGGAGGCGCUCACCACGGCCUCCAUCACAGUCGCUCGAUCUGCCAUGUUAAUUUUCGUUGGCAUUUCUUAGUAUGAAAAUGCCAAAGCACAUCAACCAUAACUUGAUUCCGUGUAAGUACGUAAGGCAUUACCUUUGGUUUGUGCUGCACAUUCAUUCAGACUUGAAACAUCUGGAUCUGUUCCAUCUAUGUGGUAGCGUUUACAUCUUUCAAAAGUCAACUCUGUUUCCCAAGGAUGAGCAGGUGAAUCAGUUCGGGCACACCCGCUCGACAGGCCACCAGCUCCUGGAUGCCCACAGCCGGCUAGCCCAUCGCUAAGAGAGGUGAAAAUUGAAGUUCUUACUAUUGGUGAACCAUACCAUCGUACUCUAAAACAACCAAACUAGCUCAAAAGAUUUAUCUGCUGCGAUGCGAGGUAAAUAAGAAGUGUGCCCGAACCGCAGGAGAAGAGAGCGCGCACCACAGAUCAAGUUCCCCGACCAACAAUGCACCCAAGAUUUCCGCAACCAAGCUGGUUAGAUCUCAAGCCUGGAACAACAACAAUAGAUCAAGAACUCACUCGGACCAAAAAAACACAAACUUCCAAUUCAAAAGCUUAACCCAGGGGAGAGAAGAGAAAAAGGCAAACCUUGACAGAAAUCAACAGCCACUUCUUGUUCAACCGCAAUGAAGAAUGGAGUCGCUGGAAUACCACACCAAGAAAAGAGAUUAAGACUAGUUGGUCCAGAUGGACAGGGGAUGACCAAGUAAGGCUGAGUAGUGUGGUUAGGAGCUACCGUAGGUUAGCAGUGUCUAUUUUACCAUUGUUGAACAUGCCAUUGAACUGGAGAAUCCAAACUAGCUCAAAAGAUUUACCUGCUGCGAUGCUAGGUAAACAAGAGCUGUAGCAGCUCGGUCGAUCUGCAGGUAAAUAAUAUUUCUGCAACCAAAUGCAAGCUGGCUCGAUCACAAGUCUGGAACAACAACAAUAGAUCAAGUACUCAAUCAGACCAGAAAAGCACAAAUUCCAAUUCAAAAGCUCAACCCAAGGGAGAGAAGGGGAAAAAAGAACAAACCUUGAUAGAAAUCAACAACCACUUCUUGUUCAGCCGCAUUGAAGAAUGGAGUCGCCAAAGAUACAACACCAAGAAACGAGAUCAGAGAUGUCGAUGGGACUACCAAGUAAGGCUGAGGAGCGUGGUUAGGAGGUCAACGGGCGAGGCAGGUUGUGUCUAUUUUAUGGCUAAUGAAUUGGUUACAUCAUUAACAGAGGAGGCAACAGCUACUAGUAGCACUACGCCAGCAUAUAAUAUGGCUUUGCAUGGAAGGAUUAGUCAUUUGUUUUCUUAGAGCAUCUCCAACAGGGCCCCUACACCAGCAGGUUGUUGGCCUCUAAAUUAUUUCUUAGGUGCUCCCUCCUUUUUUUCAUGGAUGGUUUGUUUAUUUAAAAUAACACUCUCUCGGAUUGACCUGCAGGCGUUGAACCAAUCAGCAGAAGAACAACUCAUCGCCCAGUUCAGCAUUGAUGAUUGCUUCCUACACGAGUGAGAGGUUAAGCGGAUAGCGGAGACAGUGAUAGUUGAACCACCUGUAGGGAUGCAGGCAGACAUGUCCACGUAGUCCGUGUAAGGGUAAUUACAGUGAUAAUUACAGCAGCAGCAGAUUAGUACGUCUUCAUCCUUUUGUUGUUUCAUGUCGAAGUAGCUAGCAUCCUGAACAAUCUGGGAGGCAGCUCUUGUUCUGUUGAACCCACGUUUUCUGCCUCUCAGACUGUUUUGAACCCUGCAUAUUAAUGUCAGGCUGCUUUGAACCCCUAUCUCAGGCUAGCUACUCCACAUGAAACACCAAAAGGAACAACAAAAGCAUCCUUGGCAUUGCGGAGGGGACUCUUUUUCUCCUUUUUGCUCCGAGAGAUGUCAAUGUAUACAUAAAGAGAAGAAUUUGCUGGAGACUAGUGGUGCUCAUAGUGGCCACAGUUGCAGUUUGGUUGGAAGCCAGGAGCAUGAUAUCACAAACUCAAAUGUAUGGUAACAAUUGGUUGACCAUGUUUUAUAACUGCAUAAUAAUCCAGUGUACAAAUCUGUAGUUGGUUAACUGGCCACCACAUUACACCAAAAUUGAAUCUUUUGCCACAACACAAGCAGAUCACAGAGCCAAGGAAGGGCAGUGCACCAUAGUACUUCUAACAAGAAACCAAAUGCAUGUCAGCACAUGUUUCUUAUCUGAUUUUUCAAAAUAUUUUAUUCCACAUUUCGUGUUAGGGACAGAAAAUUCAUCAACAAAAUAAGAGUGAAGGCAACUAAGAGAAUCCAGCAUUGUGACCUUUGAGCCUGAAAAGAUUCAAUUGGCACUGACAGUCCCACAAUGCUCGCAGCAAUCAACCAUGGUGGUCAUAUGGUUCAUACAUUCAGCAGUGCCUGCAGAUAUGAGGAGCAGAAUUAAAUUUGCAUACAUAAUGCACAAUUACUUCCUUCUUUCUAUGGAAUAGUGGAACGCAGCAUUUGUGAUAUAUGUGCGAAUAAGAAAAUUAAUAUACACCAACACACAAGGAUUCAGUUCCAUUCAAGGUAGAGCGGCCUUUAUUUUAUCCAUACGGAACACAGCAGAAAGUAGACAUUUGCAUAUACAUCUGAAAUCGAUAACUCGACUUGCUGACAAAUGGACAGUUGUAAAUCCAGAAAUGUGCAGUUGCGAUUAAACAGCAAGGGUUAUUAGGAUCACAGCGAAACAAUGCAAUCAAAUGUCACACAUUGCUUACUAGGAUCACAGCGAAAUAAUGCAAUCAAAUGGCACACAUUGCAUCAUAAUGAAAUGCGAUUGUGGGUACAUUACUGGAUUAGACAGCAAGGCAUUGCAUCAUAAUGAAAUGUGAUGGGCAACAUCCUAGGUAGCAACAACCAUAUAGGUGAAAGGGCCAUCAGUUUCUCGACAAUUUCACUACAGCAAGUCAUCAAUGUGCCGGCUCAAGCUAAUCUGAGUUCCCAAUUCCGCGAGAGAGAUCUCAUCUCACCUCGAAAUGCAGGGGCCGAUCAGUCCAUGACGACCUUGGCGCCGAGGGCCUUCAUCCGCUCAACGAUCUUCUCGGCCUCCUCCUUGGACAACCCUCCCUUGAUCACGGCAGGGGCCUUCUCCACCAGCUCCUUGGCCUCCUUGAGCCCGAGGUCCGUGAACGUCCGGAUCUCCUUGAUCACCUUGAUCUUGCUCGCCGCGUCGAACGAGUCGAGCCGCAGCUCGAAGACCGUCUUCUCGGCCGCGGCCGCCGGCUUGUCGCCGGCCGCGCCGGCGGCCGCCGCGCCGCCGCCGCCGAGGCCCGCGGCGGAGUUGAGGAUGGCGAUGGGCGGCGCGGAGGGGAUGUCGAGGCGGCGGAGCAGGAGGGCGGAGAGCUCGGCGGCCUCUGCGAGGGUGAGGGCGGAGACGUCGUCGACCAGGCGCCAGACGCGGUCGGAGGGCGGCGGGCGGGACGGCGGCGCGGUCGGGUCGAAGGUGGAGGGGUCGUAGUCGGUGGGCAGCUUGCGCACGUCGAUGAGCUCCUCGGCGGCCGCCGUGGAGAAGGCCGCGGGGAGGCGGCCGCGGUGGUGGCGGAGGAGGCGCUGGCCGGAGCGGAGGAGGGAGGAGGCCAUGGUGGAGAGGGAGGUUAGGGUUCUGGGUCCAGUGGGAGCGAUGCUCUGUGGGAAUUGGGUUUUGGAAAUGAAACCAUGGCCUGUGACUUUGGAUCUGGACUUAGGCCCAUGAAGUAAACCCAGCCCAAUGAGCCCAUUAUGUUACAUGAGGUCAUGCUUCUCUCUCAAAAAAUAAAGCAGCAGUAGUAUAUAAUCUCAAAAAAUUGAAAAUAAAUCAAUCAAAAUCAGCUAAAAAACACAAGAUUUUGACAAAAAAGGAUCAAAAACACAAGACAGAUUAUAUGUUGUUUUUAAGAAGCAAGUGAACCGAAUUAUAUACAACAAAUGAGGACACAUUUAGAAGCCAUUGCCUAUAAGAUUAAUAGCAUUUUCAUCGCAAGUGAUUCAACAGCAUGAACGCAGGAAAUGAUGUGAUGUAAUUGUUUUGGAUCAUCAGGCGAGCUACGACAUGGGUAAAUGAAUUUAAGUGUGGUGUUUACACCGUGAUAUCUGAUACACUGGCCAUCAAAUAGGCAUAUACAAUGUUGCAGUUCACCAAACUAGACAGUAAUAGUAGUAACUAACAACAAAAACGGAUAACGAUGAGACUCCAUUGUUCCAUCAUGUUAAGGGGAAAUCUUGCAUAUGCUUGGUUCAUCUGACAUUAGCUCCUUCCAUCACAAGAUGCAGCAUGUUGCGUUCAUCAGACUCUCCUUCCAUCAGAACUCAGAAAAUGUGGACGAUAUCGUACGCAAAUCUGGUAGAUGUCAAGGAUGAACUCAAGCAAAAAUAUAUCAACAGAGGAACGGUUAAAAUAGGAUGGGGGUGGGUACACAAAAGCAGUAAAAGGGCUUGAUAUAUUCAAAAAGAAUAGCACAUAUUAAUUUAUCAAGGAUACGUCCAGAACAGCACGAAGGACUGCAAAUGAAAAAUUCACGAUGUUAGAACAUCACGCAAAGCAAAAGCUCAUUGUAGUGAGCAAAUAUUAUAAGAUAAACUUGAAAACGAGAACAUAAAGAAUACAAAUGGCAAUUGAGUAGAAUGAACAGUUGUGUUUGGAUCAUUUUGAAACAUCUAUCGACGGACAUGAGUGGCCAUUAUAACAUAGAUACUAUAGAUAAUAUUCCUCCCAAGUUUCACUAUUAUUCAUGAUUGUGGCCCUACUGCAUUAUCUAAAGCUACAAUUAAUCUUUCAACAUAGUGUCAAAUUAGACUUGUACAUACUUGUAUAACUCCUAGUCCUAACUUCAGGUUUUUACAGCCGUACCAAAUAAGAACUCAUCUGGAUCCAACUCAAUAUUCAAUAGCUUCCUAGAUUAAUUUAGACUAAAACCAAAGACGGGUAAUAGUGUUUGUACAUGACAUAUUUCAACAGUAUAUAAAAUAGCAUCCAAGGGUCAAAAUGUUUAUGCAGUUAGGGUGUAAACCACAGAAUACUCAUGAUGGCAACAAUGCUUACCAUAAGGCCGGCCAAAACCCCUUCGACUAAAAUCCUGCUCCAACUAUCAAAGUACGUGUGGACUGAGAACUUUGACUUUGCCAAGAGCCCAAUAGAUGCUACCAUCAUUAUCAGAAAGUAGAAGACGAAGCCCGUCAGACCCGUGAACCCCCAGAUACCAGCAACAACUCCACUGAUGAUCGACAAGAAUGUCCGACUGUAAAACGAACAAAUCAUCAUGUUCAGGACAAACCAUGUUUGGUUAAAUAGCAGAUAACGUCUAGGGUAAUUCCUUAUAGUCGAAAAGGUGUUAUCACCAAAAUGGAAACAGGAAACUGGAUAGUGUACAUCACACAGAAAACAAUCAGUGCUUGAAGCCUGUAACUACAGUAUUAUGUAUGUCCACCACCAACCAAACAAGUUAAAAUAGUUAUUGAACUGUAAUUAGACUGUCUAUAAACAGCUUUCCAUACGAGUCUCAAGCACAGAGAGCCAACAAGAGCAUCACUUCUAUACCACUUGAAAACUAGAUACACCUAGUGGAUCUACCAUCUAAGAGGCAUGCCCACCAGAUCAAAUCACUUCACCAGUUUAGCUUUGCUGUUCACCAAUUUUAAGGCUGUUCCGGGUACAGUGCAUCUCAACCUAGCAGGAAAAUCUAAGCAAAUCCUUUUAAAUCAGCCCACCACCCAGCUACCAAAGGUUCCAAUUCACUGUGUAAAGUUGUUAGCGCAUCAUAGUUCCAGGAGAACCACUAAUUCCAAAGUCGUCGUCCCCUUGCUCAAAAACGAAAAAAAAAAAUCAACUCCCCUCGUCCCUUCCCUCGAAUACUUGUACUAGAACAUCCAGCGGCCAGCAAUUACGCUAAUGAUCCACGAGAUACGCUCGGAUCAAACCUGAACAAGCUAAAAAAAUCCUAAACUGAGCACACCUCCAGAGUCCAGAUCAGAUCGAGUUCACCGCCGAACCCAACGGGAAGAGAAGGGGGGUGCGCGGAAGAGAGGGGCGCGUACCUGUAGAGGAUGGACCUGACGUUGCUGGUGAGGUUCUCCGCCUGGAUGACGGGGACAUCGUCGGAGGAGGUGCCGCCGGCCGCCGCCAUCGCCGCGAAAUCUCUCUUUUCUCCGGGCGAGAUUUGGGGGCGGAGAGUCUGGCGCGGCAGCGAUCUGGACGGCUCGACUGCACAGGGACGGGGUUGGGUCGUAGUGUUUUUUUUUUUCUGAGGGAGGUCUUAGGGGGUUUUUCGCCUGCUGGUCCUCGGCCUUUUCUCUUUUUCAGGAAUCCUACCGUCUACUUCUUUUUAGGGAAAUCCUAUCGUAUACUACUUGUUUUGAAGAGUUGCUUGGAAAAAAUAUGAGCAAAAGGAGUUUGGACUUUGUCAAAGUGCGUUUAUUUUUUUUUAUUUUUUUGCGGGGUAAAGGGAUUGUAUUGUUUGAAUAAUAGUCACAUUACAAUCUCGUAGGAUGAGGUCUAAUAUUUUAUCAGGCACUGAUCCUAACCAAACUACCGUUCGUUCCUCUAGACGACCAAAACGAGCAAGUAGAUCGCUCGCUUGGUUCAUUUCCUGGGAGAUUUUGUUGACAACGAAACGCCUCACUUGCUUCAUGAGAUGCUUCACGUGCUCAACUAGAUGACCCAGCUGUGAGCUAUCUCGAGAUGGAUUAUUAAUCAUCUUAACGACCUUCAUGGAAUUUGUUUCAACAAGGGCAUCCUGCCGACUCCACUCCAGUGCAAGGGACAUGCCUUCCAUACAGGCACUUAGUUCCGCCUCAAGUACGUUUAUUUAGAGCAACCACGUAAUUCAUUUCACUGAUAGAAAAUAAAGCUACAUAGCCAAACACACGAUGGAAGCUAAAAGAUUGACCAGAAAAAGCACGAAUAUCCUGAAAACUUUGCAGAUAGACCCCUAAAAUAAAAAAUAUAGAACUAUCCCUAGGUUCAAGUCUGUCCUUUUAUAUUUUGUGAUAAAAUUGAGGGGAGAAAUCUGUUUGGCUAUAAUUGUAUAGAAAAAAUUUCUACUACCUCUGCCCCACAUUAAUUGUCCUAUACAAAGGUACCUCUGCAGCUUGUAUCAAUGGUUCACUGUUUAAGUUGAGUACCCUCAAUUGCACACCUACGAUAUAAUUUAUUUUAUUGCGAAAAAGAUUUAGAUAUAUUAUAAAAUUCAUCAGAAGUAAAAAAGGCACCUUAAACAUAAUAAAAAAUUGCAUCCAGAUCUCUAGACCAACGGACAACCACCACUGCUAGUAGAACGAGCAGUCGACGCGUCAAUGUCGUCGUUGCCUCGUCGGAGCCGGCUUGACCAUAUUGAUGAAAGAUGGGAAGUCUUCGUGCAUAUGCCCCUAAGGACCAGUGCUCGCGGGCCAUAUUCAUCGGCGUUGGACCCUUUGAUAGAUCUGAAGCAACUGACAUUGUACCUUUAGAUUUUAAAAAUGUUUCAACUAUACAAGUUUUAACACUAAAACUAGCAUAAUAUCCAUGUGCUGCUACGGGCAAUUAACAAUGUUUAACAAAAUGAACAAUGUACGGACUCUUCAAAUAAUAAUUCAUUUUCUCUUUAUUGUACUCCCUUUGUAAAGAAAUAUAAGAGUGUUUAGAUAACUAAAGUAGUGAUCUAAACACUCUUAUAUUAGUUUACGGAGGGAGUACUAUGUAUGUAGAAUAUGGCAACCUAGAAUCAAACAUAGUUACCAAUCGCAUGUUAGUUUCAUAGAGAUCUUAAAAAGUAUCAAGUGAAGAAUGAAAUCAUUAGACAAAAGGAGAAUCUGAAGAGUACAUUCAUGCUGAUGGCAGCAAGGAAUGAGCUCGCCUUGGAGGCACAUGGGCGAAGCAGGACAUCGAGAGGACUGCAGAGCCUAAUACGACUUCUCGCUGCACACGGGCAAAGAAUUUGCAUGCGGCUGCCCGGGAGCUCGGCAGAGUUAUACCUCACGGGCUUUUAGACAGGAAGUGGUGGGAAAUCCGCAUGCAUGCGCUAAAAUCCAAGAGUAAUAUCGCAACUUCCAGUAAUCUGGGUAGUACGGCUUCCCGACGUACUAAUAAGUCCAAGUCCCAUCACCAUGAUAGUUGAUAGGCAUCGACCUCCAGCCGAUGAGGACGCUGAAAGGCCAUUUUGCGCCUUAAGUGUUUUGGUAUUGAUGGCAACGUAAUUUAUGGACUAACUGUGUGCUUGAGCUAUACAAGCAUAUUUAUAUGACACAAGAUGGGAAGAAAAGAUCGAAGACAACAUUGCUGACGCUUUUUAUUUCUUUGACUGUAAGAAAUCUGUACUAUUAAAAGAGGUUCUGCAUCAAAAAUAAUAUAGGUGAAACCAAAUCACGUACACAAAAUACAUAUUGCACCCACAUAUACCUUCCUAGCCGUUUUGAGAAGAAUCUUCAAAUUUCACCUGUGCUAAAACCACCCCUCGGCAUGAUCACCGUGGACAUGCCCUCUUACAUCCAACGGUGGGUGCGAAGUGGGUAGCUAGCCUCAUGUCGUCGGUCCAUGACCCGAGCUUCAGGGGUGAUGAACGGUCGGUUGAAUCCAGGAAAGGACCCACUAUCAAACGGCGCGGUGGCUAGAUGGUCCAUCAACUCCUUCUCCUAGUUGCACAACAUACGACAUGGUGGGUGAAGGAGACAGCACUUGGCAAGCAUCUGUUGUCCAUCAUUUGUACUCCACGCGAGAAGCCCAACGCCUUCUUUGGUUUAGGAGAAUCUUGUAGGAAUUUCAUAGGAUAUGAUUUCUAUAGAAAAAAUUCCUUUAUAGCCCUUUAGUUUGUAGAAUGGAAUCUUAUUUCUAUGGAGAAAUUCUUCCUAUCCUUCAUAAUAGAAAAAUAAACAUUAGCCUUUAACAUGGCACCCGCCGAGUUCGGGUGCGGGUAAUGGUUGCCCAAACCCGUACCCGUCUCAUUAUUUUUCGCCCAUACCCGCACCUCAGGUUUCAAACUGUUCCCAUACCCGUACCCGGUCGAGUGCGGGUAAUACCCACGGGUAAAAAAUACCCAUCUCGAUGACCUUACCCAAUUCACACUUCAUCAUGUAUUUUUUCAACAUUUACACAUAUAUACGCAACAUUUUCAGCAUGUAGUCUUCAACAUUUCAGUACAUAUAUACCACAUUUUAGCAUUUGAGCACAUAUAGAUGAUGAUUUGUUGCGCGAUGAAAUAAAAAGAAUGAUAUUAAUUUUCAGAAAUGGAUAGCAAUAAUCAUGAAAUAUAUCACACUAAACAAUGUCCAAUUAUAUACAUGGACUAGAUCACUGAUGGCGCCUAUCUAUUUGUACAACUAAAUGAUAGGAAUUUUCGUAAAUAUAUUAUCACAUGAAACAUAUUAAAUUUGCAUAAACAUAACCAUAAAUUAGUCUGUAGUAUGAGGAAAUCUCAUAUACACGCGGUAAAAUCAUGCUUCACACCUAAUCGGAGCAGCGGCCCAGUACGGUGUGGGAUCGAUAUUAGCGAACGAAAUGAGAUUAGGCACGAUUCACACCUAAUCCGAUGACCGAAAAUGCUUAAUUGGACGAUCGGACAACAAGGGACGUUGAUGGCCUGAGAGGGCUGGAAAAAUGUGCAGUUUUAAUGUCUCUAAAUGAGUAGCCUGUACGUGAACUUUUAGAGAAACAUUCUCACCUAUUCUUUUUUUUCAAUUACAAGACAAAUAAGACGGACACAAUUUUCUUUUAUUGAAGGUACUUCUGCAUCCCCUAUUUCAAACUAAUCAACCGAAGGAGACUAUAUAAUAAGAUUAACAAAACUGGCAGUUCAGAAAACAAGAUCAAUGCAUUUAAACAAGAUCAUGCACAUGCGUCAGGGAGAGGAUUUUGGGUCGAGGUUAGUGGUUGUGUUAGUCUAGGAUACAAUUACUAAGUUCUUUAGUGAAUGACACAUGGAGCCUACUGUUAGAAGAAACUAAUAUAUGGGUAUGCGGGUACGCGGGUGCGCGGGUAUGGGUAUUGCAUUUCCAUACCCAUACCCGGUUUACCUGAUGGAUACAAUUUUUUUCCAUUAUAAACCCAUGGGUAUUUAUUUGUCCCAAACCGUUACCUUAAUAGGGUUUUUACCCGCCGGGUUCGCGGGUUUUGGGUACACAUUGUCAUGUUGAAUUCGCCUGGACUCAAUGAAAAAAAUCAUAUGAUGUGAAUCAAAGGGCAUCUCCUUUUCUAUUCUUACUCAUAGGAUUUGAGAUACAUGUCAUCUCAUUUCCUAUGACUUUCCUAUUCCUAUGAUUUUCCUACCCUAUGAACCAAAGGAGGCCUUAUAGUAUAACCGAAAGAGUACUUGCUCUUUGAGCAAAGGGCCUCCCUAAGCACGCAUUAAUUUCCUGGGCAUGCUUCUUUCUACUCAACGUUGCAAGCACUUUGAGCAUGUUGGCAACUCCACUGCUAGCUUGGUCCUCUCCAACUCUCUGAUGAAGUGCCACCUCCAAGUUAAGAAGCCCAGUGAUGAUGAUGAUGCAUAGAUUUAGUUUUUUUAUUAUGUUAAGCUAUAGUAUGAACUCUGUCUUUCAUAUGAACUCCGGUGAUGUAAUGUGGCGUGAACUGCUAGUUUAAUUAUCUCGUAUGUGUUUACCGGAUCUUCUUUCCCACCGUCUGCGGUAUGACAACCGGAAACGAAACUUACGAUACCACGGUUUGCAGGAAAAGUUUUAACUGUUGAUUGGAAAAGCUUCAACCCACAUGAGAGAAAAGUUUCAACUUGUGGAAGAAAGCUUCAACCAUGGAAAAAGCCUCAACCGGCGGUGGAAAAGCUUCAAGCAACGGUGGAAAAAGCUUCAACCGGCAUCGGCAAAAAGCUUCAACAUGUGGAAAAAGCUUCAAUCGGCGUGUAAAAAAAACUUCAACCGGUGUGAAAAAAAGCUUCAACCGGCCGAUGAUGCAAGUGGCGACGCUGAGUGCUGCGGCCGACGACACAUUGGUGUUGCGGCGGACGUGCUACGACAGCGACGACUAGAUGCUGCCAUGACAGAGACAUCGGGCGUGCUGCAAGGCCGCGGUGUUUUUACUAUGACGGCGACAGUCCCCUGCUGGAAUCGGCAAGGGCAAGUGCUGCAAGGGUGACCACCGGCGAUGAGGGCAGCGACCAGCAGUGAGCGUAGGCGACGAGGCAAUCGGCGCGAGGAUGGCCGACGAGCUUCACUCCGUGGAUGGGUGGAUUACGGGCUGCAGACAUGCGCCAUGGCUUUCCUUGUUUUCUAAUGAAGCGGCUGAGGAAAGAAAAGUCAUCGUGCGGGUGCGGCUAUCACGACGCUAAUUCUACAUGUGCUACCUCUUGAGCACUGCGUUGGAUUUCCUUGAAGAGGAAAGGAUGAUGCAGCAAAGUAGCGUAAGUAUUUCCCUCAGUUUUUGAGAACCAAGGUAUCAAUCCAGUAGGAGGCUACGCGCGAGUCCCUUGUACCUCAACAAAACACAACCAACGCGAUAAGGGGUUGCCAAUCCCUUCACAGUCACGUACGAGAGUGAGAUCUGAUAGAUAUGAUAAGAUAAUAUUUUGUUGGUAUUUUUGUGAUAAAGAUGCAAAGUAAAAUAAAAGCAAAGUAAAAAAGCAAAUUAAGUAACUAAGUAUUGGAAGAUUAAUAUGAUGAAGAUAGACCCGGGGGCCAUAGGUUUCACUAGUGGCUUCUCUCAAGAGCAUAAGUAUUUUACGGUGGGUGAACGAAUUACUAUUGAGUAAUUGACAGAAUUGAGCAUAGUUAUGAGAAUAUCUAGGUAUGAUCAUGUAUAUAGGCAUCACAUCCGAGACAAGUAGACCGACUCCUGCCUGCAUCUACUACUAUUACUCCACUCAUCGACCGCUAUCCAGCAUGCAUCUAGAGUAUUAAGUUCAUGAAAACAGAGUAACGCCUUAAGCAAGAUGACACGAUGUAGAGGGAUAAAUUCAUGCAAUAUGAUAAAAACCCCAUCUUGUUAUCCUCGAUGGCAACAAUAUAAUACGUGCAUUGUUGCCCCUACUGUCGCUGGGAAAGGACACCGCAAGAUUGAACCCAAAGCUAAGCACUUCUCCCAUUGCAAGAAAGAUCAAUCUAGUAGGCCAAACCAAACUGAUAAUUCGAAGAGACUUGCAAAGAUAACCAAUCAUACAUAAAAGAAUUCAGAGAAGAUUCAAAUAUUGUUCAUAGAUAAUCUUGAUCAUAAACCCACAAUUCAUCGGUCUCAACAAACACACCGCAAAAAGAAGAUUACAUCGAAUAGAUCUCCACAAGAGAGGGGGAGAUCAUUGUAUUGAGAUCCAAAAAGAGAGAAGAAGCCAUCUAGCUAAUAACUAUGGACCCGAAGGUCUGAGGUAAACUACUCACACUUCAUCGAAGAGGCUAUGGUGUUGAUGUAGAAGCCCUCCGUGAUGGAUGCCCCCUCCGGUGGAGCUCCGGAACAGGCCCCAAGAUGGGAUCUCGUGGAUACUGAAGGUUGCGGUGGUGGAAUUAGGUUUUUGGCUCCAUAUCUGAUCGGUUGGGGGUACGUAGGUAUAUAUAGGAGGAAGGAGUACGUCGGUGGAGCAACAGGGGGCCCACGUGGUUGGAGGGCGCGCCUGGGGGGUGUAGGCGCGCCCCCCUACCUCGUGGCUUCCUCCUUUAUUUCUUGACAUAGGGUCCAAGUCUCCCGGAUCAUGUUCGGUCCGAAAAUCACGUUCCCGAAGGUUUCAUUCCAUUUGGACUCCGUUUGAUAUUCCUUUUCUACGAAACUUUGAAAUGGGCAAAAAACAACAAUUCUGGGCUGGGCCUCCGGCUAAUAGGUUAGUUCCAAAAAUAAUAUAGAAGUGGAUAAUAAAGCCUAAUAAUGUCCGAAACAAUAGAUAAUAUAGCAUGGAGCAAUCAAAAAUUAUAGAUACAUUGGAGACGUGUCAAGCAUCCCCAAGCUUAAUUCCUGCUCGUCCUCAAGUAGGUAAAUGAUAAAAAAGAUAAUUUUGAUGCGGAGUGCUACUUGGCAUAAUUUUAAUGUAAUUCUUCUUAAUUGUGGUAUGAAUAUUCAGAUCCGAAAGAUUCGAGAUAAAAGUUCAUAUUGACAUAAAAAUAAUAAUACUUCAAGCAUACUAACUAAGCAAUUAUGUCUUCUCAAAAUAACAUGGCCAAAGAAAGUUCAUCCCUACAAAAUCAUAUAGUUUAGUCAUGCUCCAUUUUCGUCACACAAGAAUGCUCUCAUCAUGCACAACCCAGAUGACAAGCCAAGCAAUUGUUUCAUACUUACGUAAUCUCAAACCUAUAAACUUUCACGCAAUAUAUGAGCGCGAGCCAUGGACAUAGCACUAUGGGUGAAAUAGAAUAUGAUGAUGGGGGUUAUGUGGAGAAGACAAAAAAGGAGAAAGUCUCACAUCAAUGAGGCUAAUCAAUGGGCUAUGGAGAUGCCCAUCGAUUGAUGUUAAUGCAAGGAGUAGGGAUUGCCAUGCAAUGGAUGCACUAGAGCUAUAAAUGUAUGAAAGCUCAACAAAAGAAACUAAGUGGGUGUGCAUCAAACUUGCUUGCUCACGAAGACCUAGGGCACUUGAGGAGGCCCAUUGUUGGAAUAUACAAGCCAAGUUCUAUAAUGAAAAAUUCCCACUAGUAUGUGAAAGUGACAAAACAAAAGACUCUCUAUCAUGAAGAUUAUGGUGCUACUUUGAAGCACAAGUGUGGCAAAGGAUAGUAGCAUUAUCCCUUCUCUCUUUUUCUCUCUUUUUUGGGCCUUCACUUCUUUUUUUAUGGCCUUUCUCUCCCCUCUUUUUUUAAUUCCUCACUUAGGACAAUGCUAUAGAAAAUGAUGAUCAUCACACUUCUAUUUAUUUACAACUCAAUGAUUACAACUCGAUGCUAGAACAAAAGAUGACUCUAUAUGAAUGCCUCCGGCGGUGUACCGGGAUAUGCAAUGAACCAAGAGUGACAUGUAUGAAAGAAUUAUGAACGGUGGCUUUACCACAAAUACUAUGUCAACUACAUGAUCAUGCUAAGCAAUAUGACAAUGAUGAAUGUGUCAUGAUAAACGGAAUGGUGGAGAGUUGCAUGGAAAUAUAUCUCGGAAUGGCUAUGGAAAUGCCAUAAUAGGUAGGUAUGGUGGCUGUUUUGAGGAAGAUAUAAGGAGGUUUAUGUGUGAAAGAGCGUAUCAUAUCACGGGGUUUGGAUGCACCGGCGAAGUUUGCACCAACUCUCAAUGUGAGAAAGGGCAAUGCACAGUAUCAAAGAGGCUAGCAAUGAUGGAAGGGUGAGAGUGUGUAUAAUCCAUGGACUCAACAUUAGUCAUAAAGAACUCACAUACUUAUUGCAAAAAUCUACAAGUCAUCAAAAACCAAGCACUACGCGCAUGCUCCUAGGGGGAUAGAUUGGUAUGAAAAGACCAUCGCUCGUCCCCGACCGCCACUCAUACGGAGGACAAUCAAAGAACACCACAUGUUUCAAAUUUGUUACAUAACGUUUACCAUACGUGCAUGCUACGGGACUUGCAAACUUCAACACAAGCAUUUCUCAAAUUUACAACUACUCAACUAGCAUGACUUUGAUAUUAUUACCUCCAUAUCUCAAAACAAUCAUCAAGCAUCAAACUUCUCUUAGUAUUCAAAACACUCAUAAGAAUUUUUUUACUAAUCUAGAAUACCUAGCAUAUUAGGAUUAUUUAAGCAAAUUACCAUGCUAUUUAAGACUCUCAAAAUAAUCUAAGUGAAGCAUGAGAGAUCAAUAGUUUCUAUAAAACAAAUCCACCACCGUGCUCUAAAAGAUAUAAGUGAAGUACUAGAGCAAAACUAUAUAACUCAAAAGAUAUAAGUGAAGCACAUAGAGUAUUCUAACAAAUUCCAAAUCAUGUAUGGCUCUCUCAAAAGGUGUGUACAGCAAGGAUGAUUGUGGUAAACUAAAAAGCAAAGACUCAAAUCAUACAAGACGCUCCAAGCAAAACACAUAUCAUGUGGUGAAUAAAAAUAUAGCUCCAAGUAAAGUUACCGAUGGAAGUAGACGAAAGAGGCGAUGCCUUCCGGGGCAUCCCCAAGCUUUGGAUUUUAGGUGUCCUUAGAUUAUCUUGGGGGUGCCAUGGGCAUCCCCAAGCUUAGUCUCUUGCCACUCCUUGUUCCAUAAUCCAUCAAAUCUUUACCCAAAAUCUUGAAAACUUCACAACACAAAACUUAAAGUAGAAAAUCUCGUGAGCUCCGUUAGCGAAAGAAAACAAAAGACCACUUCAAGGUACUGUAAUGAACUCAUUAUUUAUUUAAAUUGGUGUUAAACCUACUGUAUUCCAACUUCUAUAUGGUUUAUAAACUAUUUUACUAGCGAUAGAUUCAUCAAAAUAAGCAAACAACACACGAAAAACAGAAUCUGUCAAAAACAGAACAGUCUGUAGUAACCUGUAACUAGCACAAGAUCUGGAACCCCAAAAAUUAUAAAAUAAAUUUCUGGACGUGAGUAAUUUAUCUAUUAAUCAUUUACAAAAAUAAUUAAAUAAAUAGCACUUUCCACAUAAAAAUGGCAGCAGUUCUCGUGAGCGCUAAAGUUUCUGUUUUUUUACAGCAAGAUAUCAAGACUUUUCCCAAGUCUUCCCAACGGUUCUACUUGGCACAAACACUAAUUAAACACAAAAACACAACCAAAACAGAGGCUAGGUAAAUUAUUUAUUACUGGAAUAAAAAUAAAAUUGGGUUGCCUCCCAACAAGCGCUAUCGUUUAACGCCCCUAGCUAGGCAUAAAAAGCAAGGAUAGAUCUAGGUAUUGCCAUCUUUGGUAGGCAAUCCAUAAGUGGAUCUCAUAAUAGAUUCAUAAGGUAAUUUGAUUUUCUUUCUAGGAAAAUGUUACAUGCCUUUCCUUAACAAAAAUUGGAAUCUAAUAUUUCCUUCCUUCAUAUCAAUAAUUGCACCAAUCGUUCUAAGGAAAGGUCUACCAAGGAUAAUAGGACAUGAAGGAUUGCAAUCUAUGUCAAGAACAAUAAAAUCUACGGGCACAUAAUUCCUAUUUGCGACAAUAAGAACAUCAUUGAUUCUUCCCAUUGGUUUCUUAAUAGUGGAAUCCGCAAGGUGCAAGUUUAAAGAGAAAUCAUCAAAAUCACGGAAACCUAACAAAUCACACAAAGUCUUUGGAAUCGUGGAAACACUAGCACCCAAAUCACAUAAAGCAUAGAACUCAUGAUCUUUAAUCUUAAUUUUAAUAGUUGGUUCCCACUCAUCAUAAAGUUUUCUAGGGAUAGAAACUUCCAACUCAAGUUUUUCUUCAUAAGAUUGCAUCAAGGCAUCAACGAUAUGUUUAGUAAACGCUUUAUUUUGACUAUAAACAUGAGGAGAAUUUAGCACGGAUUGUAACAAGGAAAUACAAUCAAUAAAAGAGCAAUUUUCAUAAUUAAAUUCUUUGAAAUCCAUAAUAGUGGGUUUAGUAACAUCUAGGGUUUUAAUUUCUUUAAUCCCACUUUCAUCAAAUUUAGCAUCAAGAUCUAAAAACUCUGAAUUUUUGGAACGCUUUCUAGGUAAAGGUGUUGGAAAUAUGCCCUAGAGGCAAUAAUAAAUUAGUUAUUAUUAUAUUUCCUUGUUCCUGAUAAUCGUUUAUUAUCCAUGCUAGAAUUGUAUUGAUAGGACACUCAAAUACAUGUGUGGAUACAUAGACAACGCCAUGUCCCUACUAAGCCUCUAGUUGACUAGCUCGUUGAUCAAUAGAUGGUUACGGUUUCCUGACGAUGGACAUUGGAUGUCAUUGAUAAUGGGAUCACAUCAUUAGGAGAAUGAUGUGAUGGACAAGACCCAAUCCUAAGCCUAGCACAAGAUUGUGUAGUUCGUAUGCUAAAGCUUUUCUAAUGUCAAGUAUCAUUUCCUUAGACCAUGAGAUUGUGCAACUCCCGGAUACCGUAGGAAUGCUUUGGGUGUACCAAAUGUCACAACGUAACUGGGUGGCUAUAAAGGUGCACUACGGGUAUCUCCGAAAGUGUCUGUUGGGUUGUCACGAAUCAAGACUGGGAUUUGUCACUCUGUGUAACGGAGAGGUAUCUCUGGGCCCACUCAGUAGGACAUCAUCAUAAUGUGCACAAUGUGACCAAGGAGUUGAUCACAGGAUGAUGUGUUACGGGACGAGUAAAGAGACUUGCCAGUAACGAGAUUGAACGAGGUAUCGGGAUAUCGAUGAUCGAAUCUCGGGCAAGUACCGUACCGAUAGACAAAGGGAAUUGUAUACGGGAUUGAUUGAAUCCUUGACAUCGUGGUUCAUCCGAUGAGAUCAUCGUGGAGCAUGUGGGAGCUAACAUGGGUAUCCAGAUCCCUCUGUUGGUUAUUGACCGGAGAGUUGUCUCGGCCAUGUCUGCAUGACUCCCAAGCCCGUAGGGUCUACACACUUAAGGUUCGAUGAUGCUAGGGUUAUAGGUAAAGUAUGUACGCGGUUACCGAAUGUUGUUCGGGGUCCCGGAUGAGAUCCCGGACGUCACGAGGAGUUCCGGAAUGGUCCGGAGGUAAAGAUUUAUAUAUGGGAAGUCCCGUUUUGGUCACCGGAAAAGUUUCGGGUGCUAUCGGUAACGUACCGGAUGUUGGAAAUAUGCCCUAGAGGCAAUAAUAAAAUGGUUAUUAUUAUAUUUCUUUGUUCAUGAUAAUUGUCUAUUGUUCAUGCUAUAAUUGUGUUAUCCAGAAAUCGUAAUACAUGUGUGAAUAUAUAGACCACAACACGUCCCUAGUGAGCCUCUAGUUGACUAGCUCGUUGAUCAAAGGAUAGUCAUGGUUUCCUGACUAUGGACAUUAGAUGUCAUUGAUAACGGGAUCACAUCAUUAGGAGAAUGAUGUGAUGGACAAGACCCAAUCCUAAGCUUAGCUCAAAGAUCGUGUAGUUUGUUUGUUGUAGCUUUUUUGAAUGUCAAGUAUCAUUUCCUUAGACCAUGAGAUUGUGCAGCUCCCGGAUACCGUAGGAGUGCCUUGGGUGUGCCAAACGUCACAACGUAACUGGGUGACUAUAAAGGUACAUUACAUGUAUCUCCAAAAGUGUAUGUUGGGUUGGCACGAAUCGAGACUGGGAUUUGUCACUCCGUAUGACGGAGAGGUAUCUCUGGGCCCACUCGGUAAUGCAUCAUCAUAAUGAGCUCAAAGUGAUCAAGUGAUUGAUCACGGGAUCAUGCAUUAUGGUACGAGUAAAGUGACUUGCCGGCAACGUGACUGAACAAGGUAUUGGGAUACCGACGAUCGAGUCUCGGGCAAGUAACGUACCGAUUGACAAAGGGAAUUGUAUACGGAUUGAUUGAAUCCUCGACAUCGUGGUUCAUCUGAUGAGAUCAUCAUGGAGCAUGUGGGAGCCAACAUGGGUAUCCAGAUCCCGCUGUUGGUUAUUGACCGGAGAGGCUUCUCGGUCAUGUCUGCAUGUCUCCCGAACCCGUAGGGUCUACACACUUAAGGUUCGAUGACGCUAGGGUUGUAGAGAUAUUAGCACAUGGUAACCCGAAAGUUGUUUGGAGUCCCGGAUGAGAUCCCGGACGUCACGAGGAGUUCCGGAAUGGUCCGGAGGUAAAGAUUUAUAUAUAGGAAGUCCAGUUUCGGCCUUCGGGAAGGUUUCGGGGUCACCGUUAUUGUACCGGGACCACCAGAAGGGUCCCGGGGGUCCACCGGGUGGGGCCACCUAUCCUAGAGGGCCCCAUGGGCUGAAGUGGGAGGGGAACCAGCCCCUAGUGGGCUGGUGCGCCCCCCUGGGCCUCCCCCUGCGCCUAGGGUUAGAAACCCUAGUGGUGGGGGCGCCACCCUUGCCUUGGGGGGCAAGGCACCCCCUUGGCCGCCGCCCCCCUAGGAUAUUGGAUCUCCUAGGGCCGGCGCCCCCCCUUAGGCACCCUAUAUAUAGUGGGGGGGAGGGCUGCGCACCCAAGCCCCUGGCCUCUCCCUCUCCCUCCCGUGACACUCCUCCAUCUCCCAGCGCUUGGCGAAGCCCUGCCGAGAUCACCGUUGCUUCCACCACCACGCCGUCGUGCUGCUGGAUCUUCAUCAACCUCUCCUUCCCCCUUGCUGGAUCAAUAAGGAGGAGACGUCUCCCAACCGUACUUGUGUUGAACGCAGAGGUGCCGUCCGUUCGGCACUAGGUCAUCGGUGAUUUGAAUCACGUCGAGUACGACUCCAUCAACCCCGUUCUCUUGAACGCUUCCACUCGUGAUCUACAAGGGUAUGUAGAUGCACUCCUCUCUCCCUCGUUGCUAGAUGACUCCAUAGAUUGAUCUUGGUGAUGCGUAGAAAAUUUUAAAAUUCUGCUACGUUCCCCAACAGUGGCAUCAUGAGCUAGGUCUAUGCGUAGUUACUAUGCACGAGUAGAACACAAAGUAGUUGUGGGCGUCGAUAUUGUCAAUUUGCUUGCCGUUACUAGUCUUAUCUUGAUUCGGUGGCAUCGUGAGAUGAAGCGGCCCGGACCAACCUUACACAUACGCUUACGUGAGACCGGUUCCACCUACUGACAUGCACUAGUUGCAUAAGGUGGCUGGCGGGUGUCUGUCUCUCCCACUUUAGUCGGAUCGGAUUCGAUGAAUAGGGUCCUUAUGAAGGGUAAAUAGAAAUUGGCAAUUCACGUUGUGGUUUUGGCGUAGGUAAGAAACGUUCUUGCUAGAAACCUAUAGCAUCCACGUAAAAACUUGCAACAACAAUUAGAGGACGUCUAACUUGUUUUUGUAGCAAGUGUUUUGUGAUGUGAUAUGGCCAAAUGUUGUGAUGAAUGAUGAAUGAUAUAUGUGAUGUAUGAGAUUGAUCAUGUUCUUGUAAUAGGAAUCACGACUUGCAUGUCGAUGAGUAUGACAACCGGCAGGAGCCAUAGGAGUUGUCUUUAUUUAUUUAUGACCUGCGUGUCAACAUAAACAUCAUGUAAUUACUUUACUUUAUUGCUAAAGCGUUAGCCAUAGUAGUAGAAGUAAUAGAUGACAAGACAACUUCAAGAAGACACGAUGGUGGAGAUCAUGAUGAUGGAGAUCAUGGUGUCAUGCCGGUGACAACGAUGAUCAUGGAGCCCCGAAGAUGGAGAUCAAAGGAGCAAAUGAUAUUGGCCAUAUCAUGUCACUAUUUGAUUGCAUGUCAUGUUUAUCAUGUUUUACAUCUUAUUUGCUUAGAACGAAGGUAGCUUAAAUAAGAUGAUCCCUCGUAAGAAAGUGUUCCCCCUAACUGUGCACCGAUGCGAAGGAUCAUUGUUUUGAAGCACCACGUGAUGAUCGGGUGUGAUAGAUUCUAACAUUCGAAUACAAUGGGUGUAAGACAAAUUUACACACGCAAUACACUUAGGUUGACUUGACGAGCCUAGCACAAUGGCCUCGGAACACAGAAGACUGAAAGGUCGAGCAUGAGUCGUAUAGAAGAUACGAUCAACAUGAAGAUGUUCAUCGAUGUUGACUAGUCCGUCUCACGUGAUGAUCGGACACGGCCUAGUUAACUCGGAUCAUGUUAUACUUAGAUGACUGGAGGGAUGUCUAUCUGAGUGGGAGUUCAUUUAAUAAUUUCAUUAGAUGAACUUAAUUAUCAUGAACUUAGUCUAAAAUCUUUACAAUAUGUCUUGUAGAUCAAAUGGCCCACGUUGUCCUCAACUUCAAUGCGUUCCUAGAGAAAACCAAGCUGAAAGACGAUGGCAGCAACUAUACGGACUGGGUCCGAAACCUGAGGAUCAUCCUCAUAGCUGCCAAGAAAGAUUAUGUCCUAGAAGCACCGCUAGGUGACGCACCCAUCCCACAGAACCAAGACGUUAUGAACGCUUGGCAGACACGUGCUGAUGAUUACUCCCUCGUUCAGUGCGGCAUGCUUUACAGCUUAGAACCGGGGCUCCAAAAGCAUUUUGAGAGACACGGAGCAUAUGAGAUGUUCGAAGAGCUGAAAAUGGUUUUUCAAGCUCAUGCCCGGGUCGAGAGAUAUGAAGUCUCCGGCAAGUUCUUCAGCUGUACCCGGUAAGCAAGCUGCCAGGAAGAAGCCAAAGAAUGGACCCAAGCCCGAGACUGAGUGUUUUUAUUGCAAGGGAAGUGGUCACUGGAAGCGGAACUGCCCCAAAUACUUAGCGGACAAGAAGGCCGGCAUCACGAAAGGUAUAUGUGAUAUACAUGUAAUUGAUGUGUACCUUACCAGUACUCGUAGUAGCUCCUGGGUAUUUGAUACCAGUGCGGUUGCUCACAUUUGUAACUCAAAGCAGGAGCUGCGGAAUAAGCGGAGACUGGCGAAGGACGAGGUGACGAUGCACGUCGGGAAUGGUUCCAAGGUCGAUGUGAUCGCCGUCGGCACGCUACCUCUACAUUUACCUAUGGGAUUAGUUUUAAACCUCAAUAAUUGUUAUUUAGUGCCAGCUUUGUGCAUGAACAUUGUAUCAGGAUCUCGUUUAAUUCGAGAUGGCUACUCAUUUAAAUCCGAGAAUAAUGGUUGUUCUAUUUAUAUGAGAGAUAUGUUUUAUGGUCAUGCUCCGAUGGUGAAUGGUUUAUUCUUAAUGAAUCUCGAGCGUAAUGCUACACAUAUUCAUAUAGUGAAUACCAAAAGAUGUAAGGUUGAUAAUGAUAGUCCCACAUACUUGUGGCACUACCGCCUUGGUCACAUAGGUGUCAAACGCAUGAAGAAGCUCCAUGCAGAUGGACUUUUAGAGUCUCUUGAUUACGAAUCAUUUGACACGUGCGAACCAUGCCUCAUGGGUAAAAUGACCAAGACUCCGUUCUCAGGAACAAUGGAGUGAGCAACCAACUUAUUAGAAAUCAUACAUACUGAUGUGUGCGGUCCAAUGAGUGUUGAGGCUCGCGGUGGCUAUCGUUAUGUUCUCACCCUCACUGAUGACUUGAGUAGAUAUGGGUAUGUCUACUUAAUGAAACACAAGUCUGAGACCUUUGAAAAGUUCAAGGAAUUUCAGAGUGAGGUUGAGAAUCAACGUGACAGGAAAAUCAAGUUAUUGCGAUCAGAUCGUGGGGGAGAAUACUUGAGUCACAAAUUUGGCACACACUUAAGAAAAUGUGGAAUAGUUUCACAACUAACGCCGCCUGGAACACCUCAGCGUAAUGGUGUGUCCGAACGUCGUAAUCGCACUCUAUUAGAUAUGGUGCGAUCUAUGAUGUCUCUUACCGAUUUACCGCUAUCAUUUUGGGGCUACGCUUUAGAGACUGCCGCAUUCACUUUAAAUAGGGCUCCGUCGAUAUCCGUUGAGACGACACCGUAUGAAUUAUGGCCUGGGAAGAAACCUAAGCUGUCGUUUCUAAAAGUUUGGGGAUGCGAUGCUUAUGUGAAGAAACUUCAACCUGAAAAGCUCGAACCCAAGUCAGAAAAAUGCGUCUUCAUAGGAUACCCUAAAGAAACUGUUGGGUAUACCUUCUACCUCAGAUCCGAAGACAAGAUCUUUGUUGCCAAGAAUGGGUCCUUUCUAGAGAAAGAGUUUCUCUCGAAAGAAAUAAGUGGGAGGAAGGUAGACCUUGAUGAAGUAUUACCUCUUGAACCGGUAAGUGGCGCAACUCUAGAAAAUGUUCCUGAGGUGCCUGCACCGACUAGAGAGGAAGUUGAUGAUGAUGAUCAUGAAACUUCCAAUCAAGUUGCUACUGAACUUCGUAGGUCCAUAAGGACACAUUCCGCACCAGAGUGGUACGGCAACCCUGUCUUGGAAAUCAUGUUGUUAGACAACGGUGAACCUUCGAACUAUGAAGAAGCGAUGGCGGGCCGGAUUCUGACAAAUGGCUGGAAAUCAUGAAAUCCGAGAUAGGAUCCAUGUAUGAAAACGAAGUAUGGACUUUGACUGACUUGCCUGUUGAUCGGCGAGCCAUAGAAAAUAAAUGGAUCUUUAAGAAGAAGACACACGCGGAUGGUAAUGUGACCAUCUAUAAAGCUCGGCUUGUCGCUAAGGGUUAUAGACAAGUUCAUGAAGGAAAUAUGCCCUAGAGGCAAUAAUAAAGUUAUUAUUUAUUUCCUUAUAAUCAUGAUAAAUGUUUAUUAUUCAUGCUAGAAUUGUAUUUACCGGAAACAUAAUACAUGUGUGAAUACAUAGACAAACAAAGUCACUAGUAUGCCUCUACUUGACUAGCUCGUUAAUCAAAGAUGGUUAUGUUUCCUAACCAUAAACAAUGAGUUGUUAUUUGAUUAACGAGGUCACAUCAUUAGUAGAAUGAUCUGAUUGACAUGACCCAUUCCAUUAGCUUAGCACCCGAUCGUUUAGUAUGUUGCUAUUGCUUUCUUCAUGACUUAUACAUGUUCCUAUGACUAUGAGAUUAUGCAACUCCCGUUUACCGGAGGAACACUUUGGGUACUACCAAACGUCACAACGUAACUGGGUGAUUAUAAAGGAGUACUACAGGUGUCUCCAAUGGUCGAUGUUGGGUUGGUGUAUUUCGAGAUUAGGAUUUGUCACUCCGAUUGUCGGAGAGGUAUCUCUGGGCCCUCUCGGUAAUACACAUCACAUAAGCCUUGCAAGCAUUACAACUAAAUAUGUUAGUUGUGAGAUGAUGUAUUACGGAACGAGUAAAGAGACUUGCCGGUAACGAGAUUGAACUAGGUAUUGGAUACCGACGAUCGAAUCUCGGGCAAGUAACAUACCGAUGACAAAGGGAACACCGUAUGUUGUUAUGCGGUCUGACCGAUAAAGAUCUUCGUAGAAUAUGUAGGAGCCAAUAUGGGCAUCCAGGUCCCGCUAUUGGUUAUUGACCAGAGACAUGUCUCGGUCAUGUCUACAUUGUUCUCGAACCCGUAGGGUCCGCACGCUUAAGGUUACGAUGACAGUUAUAUUAUGAGUUUAUGCAUUUUGAUGUACCGAAGGUUGUUCGGAGUCCCGGAUGUGAUCACGGACAUGACGAGGAGUCUCGAAAUGGUCGAGACAUAAAGAUUGAUAUAUUGGAAGUCUAUGUUUGGACAUCGGAAGUGUUCCGGGUGAAAUCGGGAUUUUACCGGGUUACCGGGAGGUUACCGGAACCCCCCGGGAGCCAUAUGGGCCAUCAUGGGCCUUAGUGGAAAGGAGAAAGGGGCAGCCCAAGGGGGCUGAGCGCCUCCCCCCUUCCCCUAGUCCUAUUAGGACUAGGAGAGGUGGCCGGCCACCCCUCUCCCUCUUUCCCCCUUGGGAAUCCUAGUUGGAAUAGGAUUGGAGGGGAGUCCUACUCCCGGUAGGAGUAGGACUCCUCCUGCGCCACCUCCUCCUGGCCGGCGCCUCCUCCCCCCCUUGGCUCCUUUAUAUACUGAGGCAGGGGCACCUCUAAACACACAAGUUGACACAAGUUGAUCCACGUGAUCGAUUCCUUAGCCGUGUGCGGUGCCCCCUGCCACCAUAUUCCUCGAUAAUACUGUAGCGGAGUUUAGGCGAAGCCCUGCUGCUGUAGUUCAUCAAGAUCGUCACCACGCCGUCGUGCUGACGGAACUCUUCCCCGACACUUUGCUGGAUCGGAGUCCGGGGAUCGUCAUCGAGCUGAACGUGUGCUCGAACUCGGAGGUGCCGUAGUUUCGGUGCUUGAUCGGUUGGAUCGUGAAGACGUACGACUACUUCCUCUACGUCGUGUCAUCGCUUCCGCAGUCGGUCUGCGUAGGGUACGUAGACAAUACUCUUCCCCUCGUUGCUAUGCAUCACAUGAUCUUGCGUGUGCGUAGGAAAUUUUUUGAAAUUACUACGAAACCCAACAGUGGCAUCCGAGCCUGGUUAUUGAUGUUGAUGUUAUAUGCACGAGUAGAACACAAGUGAGUUGUGGACGAUACAAGUCAUACUGCCUACCAGCAUGUCAUAUUUUGGUUCGGCGGUAUUGUUGGACGAGACGACCCAGACCAACCUUACGCGUACGCUUACGCGAGACCGGUUCCCUCGACGUGCUUUGCACAGAGAUGGCUUGCGGGCGACUGUCUCUCCAACUUUAGUUGAACCAAGUAUGGCUACGCCCGGUCCUUGCGAAGGUUAAAACGGAGUCUAUUUGACAAACUAUCGUUGUGGUUUUGAUGCGUAGGUGAGAUUGGUUCUUACUUAAGCCCGUAGCAGCCACGUAAAACAUGCAACAACAAAGUAGAGGACGUCUAACUUGUUUUUGCAGGGCAUGUUGUGAUGUGAUAUGGUCAAGGCAUGAUACUGAAUUUUAUUGUAUGAGAUGAUCAUGUUUUGUAACCAAGUUAUCGGCAACUGGCAGGAGCCAUAUGGUUGUCGCUUUAUUGUAUGCAAUGCAAUCGCGAUGUAAUGCUUAACUUUAUUACUAAACGGUAGUGAUAGUCGUGAAAGCAUAAGAUUGGCGAGACGACAACGAUGCUACGAUGGAGAUCAAGGUGUCGCGCCGGUGACGAUGGUGAUCAUGACGGUGCUUCAGAGAUGGAGAUCACAAGCACGAGAUGAUGAUGGCCAUAUCAUAUCACUUAUAUUGAUUGCAUGUGAUGUUUAUCUUUUUAUGCAUCUUAUCUUGCUUUGAUUGACGGUAGCAUUAUAAGAUGAUCUCUCAUUAAAUUAUCAAGAAGUGUUCUCCCUGAGUAUGCACCGUUGCCAAAGUUCGUCGUGCCCAGACACCACGUGAUGAUCGGGUGUGAUAAGCUCUACGUCCAUCUACAACGGGUGCAAGCCAGUUUUUGCACACGCAGAAUACUCAGGUUAAACUUGACGAGCCUAGCAUAUGCAGAUAUGGCCUCGGAACACGGAGACCGAAAGGUCGAGCGUGAAUCAUAUAGUAGAUAUGAUCAACAUAAACGAUGUUCACCAUUGAAAACUACUCCAUCUCACGUGAUGAUCGGACAUGGUUUAGUUGAUUUGGAUCACGUGAUCACUUAGAGGAUUAGAGGGAUGUCUGUCUAAGUGGGAGUUCUUAAGUAAUAUGAUUAAUUGAACUUAAAUUUAUCAUGAACUUAGUCCUGAUCGUAUUUUGCAAAUUAUGUUGUAAAAUCAAUAGCUUGUGUUGUUGCUUUCAUAUGUUUAUUUUGAUAUGUUCCUAGAGAAAAUUGUGUUGAAAAAUGUUAGUAGCAAUGAUGCGGAUUUGAUCCGCGAUCUGAGGUUUAUCCUCAUUGCUGCACAGAAGAAUUAUGUCCUUGAUGCACCGCUAGGUGACGGACCUAUUGCAGGAGCAGAUGCAGACGUUAUGAACGUUUGGCUAGCUCAAUAUGAUGACUACUUGAUAGUUUAAGUGCACCAUGCUUAACGGCUUAGAAUCGGGACUUCAAAGAUGUUUUGAACAUCAUGGACCAUAUGAGAUGUUCUAGUAAUUGAAGUUAAUAUUUCAAGCAAAUACCCGAGUUGAGAGAUAUGAAGUCUCCAAACAAGUUCUAUAGCUAAAAGAUGGGGGAGAAUCGCUCAACUAGUGAGCAUGUGCUCAGAUUGUCUGGGUACUUCAAUUGCUUGAAUCAAGUGGGAGUUAAUCUUCCAGAUAAGAUAGUGAUUGACAGAAUUCUCUAGUCACCAUCACUAAGUUACUGAACUUCAUGAUGAACUAUAGUAUGCAAGGGAUGACGAAAACGAUUCCCGAGCUCUUCGUGAUAUUGAAAUCGACGAAGGUAGAAAUCAAGAAAGAGCAUCAAGUGUUGAUGAUUGACAAGACCACUAGUUUCAAGAAAAGGGCAAAGGGAAGAAGGGGAACUUCAAGAAGAACAGCAAGCAAGUUGCUGCUCAAGUGAAGAAGCCCAAGUCUGGUCCUAAGCCUGAGACUAAGUGCUUCUACUGCAAAGGGACUGGUCACUGGAAGCGGAUCUACCCCAAGUGAUUGGCGGAAAAGAAGGAUGGCAAAGUGAACAUAAGUAUAUUUGAUAUACAUGUUAUUGAUGUGUACUUUACUAGUGUUUAUAGCAACCCCUCAGUAUUUGAUACUAGUUCAGUUGCUAAGAUUAGUAACUCAAAACGGGAGUUGCAGAAUAAACAGAGACUAGUUAAGGGUGAAGUGACGAUGUAUGUUGGAAGUGGUUCCAAGAUUGAUAUGAUCAUCGUCGCACACUCCCUAUACUUUCGGGAUAGUGUUGAACCUGAAUAAGUGUUAUUUGGUGUUGGCGUUGAGCAUGAAUAUGAUUUGAUCAUGUUUAUUGUAAUACGGUUAUUCAUUUAAGUAAGAGAAUAAAUUGUUGUUCUGUUUACAUGAAUGAAACCUUAUAUGGUUACACACCCAAUGAAAAUAGUUCGUUGGAUCUCGAUCAUAGUGAUACACAUAAUCAUAAUAUUGAAACCAAAAGAUGCAAAGUUAAUAAUGAUAAAUGCAACUUGUUUGUAGCACUGCCGUUUAGGUCAUAUUGGUGUAAAGUGCAUGAAGAAACUCCAUACUGAUGGGCUUUUGGAAUCACUUGAUUAUGAAUCAGUUGAUGCUUGCGAACCAUGCCUCAUGGGCAAGAUGACUAAGACUCUGUUCUUCGGAACAAUGGAGCGAGCAAUAGAUUUGUUGAAAAUCAUACAUACUGAUGUAUGUGGUCCGAUGAAUAUUGAGGCUCGCGACAGGUAUCAUUAUUUUCUGAUCUUCACAGAUGAUUUGAGCAGAUAUGAGUAUAUCUACUUGAUGAAACAUAAGUCUGAAACAUUUGAAAAGUUCAAAGAAUUUCAGAGUGAAGUGAAAAAUCAUCGUAACAAGAAAAUAAAGUUUCUACGAUCUGAUCGUAGAGAAGAGUAUUUGAGUUACGAGUUUGGCCUUCAGUUAAAAACAAUGUGAAAUAGUUUCACUACUCAUGCCACCUAGAACACCACAAUGUAAUGGUGUGUCCGAACGUCAUAACCGUACUUUAUUAGAUAUGGUGCGAUCUAUGAUGUGUCUUAUCGAUCUACCACUAUCGUUUUGGGGUUAUGCAUUAGAGACAGCUGCAUUCACGUUAAAUAGGGCACCAUCUAAAUCCGUUGAGACGACACCGUGUGAACUAUGGUUUGGCAAGAAACCUAAGCUGUCGUUUCUUAAAUUUGGGGUUGCGAUGCUUAUAUGAAAAAGUUUCAUCCUGAUAAGCUCAAACUCAAAUCGGAGAAGUGCGUCUUCAUAGGAUAUCCAAAGGAAACUAUUGGAUACACCUUCUAUCACAGAUCCGAAAGGCAAGACUUUUGUUGCUAAAUUCGGAAACUUUCUGGAGAAGGAGUUUCUCUCGAAAGAAGUGAGUGGGAGGAAAGUAGAACUUGAUGAAGUAAUUGUACCUUCUCCCUUAUUGGAAAGUAGUUCAUCACAGAAAUCUGUUCCUGUGACUACUACACCAAUUAGUGAGGAAGCUAAUGAUGAUGAUCAUGUAACUUCAGAUCAAGUUACUACCGAAUAUCGUAGCUAAACCAGAGUGAGAUCCGCACCAGAGUGGUACGGUGAUCCUGUUCUGGAAGUCAUGUUACUAGACCAUGAUAAACCUACGAACUAUGAGGAAGCGAUGAUGAGCCCAGAUUCCGCGAAAUGGCUUGAGGCCGUGAAAUCUGAGAUUGGAUCCAUGUAUGAAAACAAAGUGUGGACUUUGGUAGAGUUGCCCGUUGAUCGGCAAGCCAUAUUGUAUAAAUGGAUCUUUAAAGAGGAAGACAGACGUUGAUAGUAGUGUUACUAUCUACAAAGCUCGACUUGUCGCAGAAGAGUUUUCGACAAGUUCAAGGUAUUGACUACAAUGAGAUUUUCUCAACUGUAGCGAUGCUUAAGUCUGUCCGAAUCAUGUUAGCAAUUGCCACAUUUUAUGAAAUCUGGCAAAUGGAUGUCAAAACUGCAUUCCUUAAUGGUUUUCUUAAAGAAGAGUUGUAUAUGAUGCAACCAGAAGGUUUUGUCAAUCCUAAAGGUGUUAACAAAAUGUGCAAGCUCCAGCGAUCCAUCUAUGGACUGGUGCAAGCAUCUCAGAGUUGGAAUAUACGUUUUGAUAUGUUGAUCAAAGCAUAUAGUUUUGUACAGACUUAUGAUGAAGCCUGUAUUUACAAGAAAGUGAGUGGGAGCACUACAGCAUUUCUGAUAAGUAUAUGUGAAUAACAUAUUUUUGAUCAGAAAUAAUGUAGAAUUCUUCUGCAAAGCAUAAAAGAGUGUUUUAAAGGAGUUCUUUAAAAGGAAAAGACCUCAGUAAAAGCUACUUACAUAUUGAGCAUCAGGAUCUAUUGAGAUAGAUCAAGACGCUUGAUAAGAUUUUCAAUGAGUACAUACCUUGGCAAGAUUUUGAAAUAGUUCAAAAUGGAACAGUCAAAGAAAGAGUUCUUGCCUGUGUUGCAAAGGUGUUAAAUUGAGUAAUACUCAAAUCCUGACCACGGCAGAAAAUAGAAAAGAGAAUGAAAGUCAUUCCCUAUGCCUCAGUCAUAGGUUCUAUAAAGUAUGUUAUGCUAUGUACCAGACCUAUUGUAUACCUUGCUCUGAAUUUGGCAAGGGAGUACAAUAGUGAUCUAGGAGUAGAUCACUGGACAUUGGUCAAAAGUUAUCCUUAGUGGAAUAAGGAUAUGUUUCUCAAUUAUGGAGGUGACAAAAGGUUUGUCGUAAAAGGUUACGCCGAUACAAGUUUUGGCACUGAUCCAGAUGACUCUAAGUCUUAAUCUGGAUACAUAUUGAAAGUGGGAGCAAUUAGCUAGAGUAGCUCCGUGCAGAGCAUUGUUGACAUAGAAUAUUUGCAAAAUACAUACGGCUCUGAAUAUGACAGACCGAUUGACUAAACCUCUCUCACGAGCAAAACAUGAUCACACCUUAGUACUCUUUGGGCAUUAAUCACAUAGCGAUGUGAACUAGAUUAUUGACUCUAGUAAACCCUUUGGGUGUUGGUCACAUGACGAUGUGAACUAUGGGUGUUAAUCAUAUACAGAUAUGAUUAUUAGUGUUAAAUCACAUGGCGAUGUGAACUAGAUUAUUGACUCUAGUGCAAGUGGGAGACUGAAGGAAAUAUGCCCUAGAGGCAAUAAUAAAGUUAUUAUUUAUUUCCUUAUAAUCAUGAUAAAUGUUUAUUAUUCAUGCUAGAAUUGUAUUUACCGGAAACAUAAUACAUGUGUGAAUACAUAGACAAACAAAGUCACUAGUAUGCCUCUACUUGACUAGCUCGUUAAUCAAAGAUGGUUAUGUUUCCUAACCAUAAACAAUGAGUUGUUAUUUGAUUAACGAGGUCACAUCAUUAGUAGAAUGAUCUGAUUGACAUGACCCAUUCCAUUAGCUUAGCACCCGAUCGUUUAGUAUGUUGCUAUUGCUUUCUUCAUGACUUAUACAUGUUCCUAUGACUAUGAGAUUAUGCAACUCCCGUUUACCGGAGGAACACUUUGGGUACUACCAAACGUCACAACGUAACUGGGUGAUUAUAAAGGAGUACUACAGGUGUCUCCAAUGGUCGAUGUUGGGUUGGUGUAUUUCGAGAUUAGGAUUUGUCACUCCGAUUGUCGGAGAGGUAUCUCUGGGCCCUCUCGGUAAUACACAUCACAUAAGCCUUGCAAGCAUUACAACUAAAUAUGUUAGUUGUGAGAUGAUGUAUUACGGAACGAGUAAAGAGACUUGCCGGUAACGAGAUUGAACUAGGUAUUGGAUACCGACGAUCGAAUCUCGGGCAAGUAACAUACCGAUGACAAAGGGAACACCGUAUGUUGUUAUGCGGUCUGACCGAUAAAGAUCUUCGUAGAAUAUGUAGGAGCCAAUAUGGGCAUCCAGGUCCCGCUAUUGGUUAUUGACCAGAGACAUGUCUCGGUCAUGUCUACAUUGUUCUCGAACCCGUAGGGUCCGCACGCUUAAGGUUACGAUGACAGUUAUAUUAUGAGUUUAUGCAUUUUGAUGUACCGAAGGUUGUUCGGAGUCCCGGAUGUGAUCACGGACAUGACGAGGAGUCUCGAAAUGGUCGAGACAUAAAGAUUGAUAUAUUGGAAGUCUAUGUUUGGACAUCGGAAGUGUUCCGGGUGAAAUCGGGAUUUUACCGGGUUACCGGGAGGUUACCGGAACCCCCCGGGAGCCAUAUGGGCCAUUAUGGGCCUUAGUGGAAAGGAGAAAGGGGCAGCCCAAGGGGGCUGCGCGCCUCCCCCCUUCCCCUAGUCCUAUUAGGACUAGGAGAGGUGGCCGGCCACCCCUCUCCCUCUUUCCCCCUUGGGAAUCCUAGUUGGAAUAGGAUUGGAGGGGAGUCCUACUCCCGGUAGGAGUAGGACUCCUCCUGCGCCACCUCCUCCUGGCCGGCGCCUCCUCCCCCCCUUGGCUCCUUUAUAUACUGAGGCAGGGGCACCUCUAAACACACAAGUUGACACAAGUUGAUCCACGUGAUCGAUUCCUUAGCCGUGUGCGGUGCCCCCUGCCACCAUAUUCCUCGAUAAUACUGUAGCGGAGUUUAGGCGAAGCCCUGCUGCUGUAGUUCAUCAAGAUCGUCACCACGCCGUCGUGCUGACGGAACUCUUCCCCGACACUUUGCUGGAUCGGAGUCCGGGGAUCGUCAUCGAGCUGAACGUGUGCUCGAACUCGGAGGUGCCGUAGUUUCGGUGCUUGAUCGGUUGGAUCGUGAAGACGUACGACUACUUCCUCUACGUCGUGUCAUCGCUUCCGCAGUCGGUCUGCGUUGGGUACGUAGACAACACUCUCCUCUCGUUGCUAUGCAUCACAUGAUCCUGUGUGCGCGUAGGAAAUUUUUUGAAAUUACUACGAAACCCAACAGUUCAAGGGGUUGACUACGAUGAGACUUUCUCACCCAUAGCGAAGCUGAAGUCCGUCCGAAUCAUGUUAGCAAUUGCCGCAUUCUAUGAUUAUGAGAUAUGGCAAAUGGACGUCAAAACGGCAUUCCUUAAUGGUUUCCUUAAGGAAGAAUUGUAUAUGAUGCAGCCGGAAGGUUUUGUCGAUCCUAAGAAUGCUGACAAGGUGUGCAAGCUCCAACGCUCGAUUUAUGGGCUGGUGCAAGCAUCUCGGAGUUGGAACAUUCGCUUUGAUGAGAUGAUCAAAGCGUUUGGGUUUAUGCAGACUUAUGGAGAAGUCUGCAUUUACAAGAAAGUGAGAGGGAGCUCUGUAGCAUUUCUCAUAUUGUAUGUGGAUGACAUACUGUUGAUGGGAAAUGAUAUAGAAUUCUUGGAAAGCAUAAAGGCCUACUUGAACAAGUGUUUUUCAAUGAAGGACCUUGGAGAAGUUGCUUAUAUAUUAGGCAUCAAGAUCUAUAGAGAUAGAUCGAGACGCCUCAUUGGUCUUUCACAGAGUACGUACCUUGACAAGAUAUUGAAGAAGUUCAAAAUGGAUCAGUCAAAGAAGGGGUUCUUGCUUGUAUUGCAAGGUAUGAGAUUGAGCACGGCUCAAUGCCCGACCACGGCAGAAGAUAGAGAAAAGAUGAGUGUCGUCCCCUAUGCCUCGGCCAUAGGGUCUAUCAUGUAUGCUAUGCUGUGUACGAGACCUGAUGUAAACCUUGCCGUAAGUUUGGUAGGAAGGUACCAAAGUAAUCCCGGCAUGGAACACUGGACAGCGGUCAAGAAUAUCCUGAAGUACCUGAAAAGGACUAAGGAAAUGUUUCUCGUUUAUGGAGGUGACGAAGAGCUCGUCAUAAAGGGUUACGUCGAUGCUAGCUUCGACACAGAUCUGGAUGACUCUAAGCCACAAACCGGAUACAUGUAUAUUUUGAAUGGUGGGGCAGUAAGCUGGUGCAGUUGCAAGCAAAGCGUUGUGACGGGAUCUACAUGUGUGAUGUCUACUACACAACCUUCUUCUUGUAGACGUUGUUGGGCCUCCAAGUGCAGAGGUUUGUAGGACAGUAGCAAAUUUCCCUCAAGUGGAUGACCUAAGGUUUAUCAAUCCGUAGGAGGCGUAGGAUGAAGAUGGUCUCUCUCAAGCAACCCUGCAACCAAAUAACAAAGAGUCUCUUGUGUCCCCAACACACCCAAUACAAUGGUAUAUUGUAUAGGUGCACUAGUUCGGCGAAGAGAUGGUGAUACAAGUGCAAAAUAGAUGGUAGAUAUAGGUUUUUGUAAACUGAAAAUAUAAAAACAGCAUGGUAGCGAGUGGUAAAAGUGAGCGUAAAUGGUAUUGCAAUGAUAGGAAACAAGGCCUAGGGUUCAUACUUUCACUAGUGUAAGUCCUCUCAACAAUACUAACAUAAUUGGAUCAUGAAAUUAUCCCUCAACAUGCAACAAAGAGUCACUCCAAAGUCACUAAUAGCGGAGAACGAACGAAGAGAUUAUGGUAGGGUACGAAACCACCUCAAAGUUAUUCUUUCCAAUCAAUUCGUUGGGCUAUUCCUAUAAGUGUCACAAACAGCCCUAGAGUUCGUACUAGAAUAACACCUUAAGAUACAAAUCAACCAAAACCCUAAUGUCACCUAGAUACUUCAAUGUCACCUCAAGUAUCCGUGGGCAUGAUUAUAUGAUAUGCAUCACACAAUCUCAGAUUUAUCCAACCAACAUAAAAGUACUUCAAAUAGUGCCCCAAAGUUUCUACGGGAGAAUCAAGAACGUGUGCCAACCCCUAUCCAUAGGUUCAUGGGCGGAACCCGCAAGUUGGUCACCAAAACAUACAUCAAGUGGCACGUGAUAUCCCAUUGUCACCACAGAUAAGCACGGCAAGACAUACAUCAAGUGUUCAUAAAAGACUCAAUCCGAUAAGAUAACUUCAAAGGGGAAACUCAAUUCAUCACAAGAGAGUAGAGGGGGAGAAGAAACAUAAGAUCCAACUACAAUAGCAAAGCUCGGGAUACAUCAAGAUCGUGCCAUAGAUGGAACACAAGAGAGAACACGAGAGAGAGAUCAAACACAUAGCUACUGGUACAUACCCUCAGCCCUGAGGGUGAACUACUCCCUCCUCGUCAUGGAUAGCGCCGGGAUGAUGAAGAUGGCCACCGGAGAUGGAUCCCCCCUCCGGCAGGAUACCGGAAAGGGGUCCCGAUUGGUUUUUCAUGGUUCUGGAGGCUUGCGGCGGCGGAACUCCCGAUCUAUCUUCUCCUGGAUGUUUUUAGGGUAUAUGGAGAUAUAUAGGCGGAAGAAGUAUGCCAGGGGAGCUCCGAGGGGCCCACGAGGCAGGGGGCGCGCCCAGGGGGGGCGUGCCCUCCACCCUCGUGACCUCCCCGGAAACUUCUUGGAGUAGGGUCCAAGUCUCCUGGAUCACGUUCGGUGAGAAGAUCACGUUCCCGAAGGUUUCAUUCUGUUUGGACUCCGUUUGAUAUUCUGUUUCCUCGAAAUACUGAAAUAGGCAAAAAAACAGCAAUUCUGGGCUGGGCCUCCGGUUAAUAGGUUAGUCCCAAAAAUAAUAUAAAAGUGGAAAAUAAAGCCCAAUAUAGUCCAAAACGGUAGAUAAAGUAGCAUGGAGCAAUCAAAAAUUAUAGAUACGUUGGAGACGUAUCAGGCAUCCCCAAGCUUAAUUCCUGCUCGUCCUCGAGUAGGUAAAUGAUAAAAAGAGAAUUUUUGAUGCGGAGUGAUACUUUGGCAUAAUUUCAAUGUAAAUCUUCUUAAUCAUGGUAUGAAUAUCAGAUCCAAAAGGUUCAAGACAAAAGUUCAUAUUGACAUAAAAAUGAUAAUACUUCAAGCAUACUAAUUAAACAAUUAUGUCAUCUCAAAAUAACAUGGCCAAAGGAAGUUCAUCCCUACAAAAUCAUAUAGUUAGGCUAUGCUUCAUUUUCGUCACACAAAGAUAUUCCCAACUUCUAUACCCCCGAUGACAAGCCAAGCAAUUGUUUCAUACUCAAAUAAUCUCAAACUUUUUCAACCUUCAUGCAAUACAUGAGCGCGAGCCAUGUACAUAGCACUAUGGGUGGUAUAUAAUAUGAUGAUGGGGAUUGUGUGGAGAAGACAAAAAAGGAGAAAGUCUCACAUCAACGAGGCUAAUCAAUGAGCUAUGGAGAUGCCCAUCAAUUGAUGUUAAUGCAAGGAGUAGGGAUUGCCAUGCAACGGAUGCACUAGAGCUAAGAAUGCUCAACAAAAGAAAACUAGUGGGUGUGCAUCCAACUUUCUUGCUCAUGAAGACCUAGGGCAUUUUGAGGAAGCCCAUCGUUGGAAUAUACAAGCCAAGUUCUAUAAUGAAAAAUUCCCACUAGUAUGAACAAGACAACUUAUGAGACUCACUAUAUGAAAUCAUGGUGCUACUUUGAAGCACAAUAUAUGAGACUCACUACAUGAAGAACAAGGUGCUACUUUGAAGCACAAGUGUGGAAAAAGAGAUAGUAGCAUUGCCCUUUUUAUUUUCUCUUUUUUUGGGCCUUUCUUUUUUUUCUUUUUGGCCUUUCUCUUUUUUUUGAUUGGGCAAUGCUCUAAUAAUGAUGAUCAUCACACUUCUAUUGAUUACAACAUAAUGAUUACAACUCGAUACUAGAACAAGAUAUGACUCUAUAUCAAUACCUCCGGCGGUGUACCGGGAUGGUGCAAUGAAUCAAGAGUGACAUGUAUGAAAAAUAAUGCAUGGUGGCUUUGCCACAAAUACGAUGUCAACUACAAGAUCAUGCAAUGGCAAUAUGACAAAAGUAAAGCAUGUCAUGAUGAUGAUGAUGAUGAUGAUGGUGGAAGUUGCAUGGCAAUAUAUCUUGGAAUGGCUAUGGAAAUGCCAUGAUAGGUAGGUAUGGUGGCUGUUUUGAGGAAGAUAUAGAGAGGUUUAUGUGUGAAAGAGCGUAUCAUAUCACGGGGUUUGGAUGCACCGGUGAAGUUUGCACCAACUCUCAAUGUGAGAAAGGGCAAUGCACGGUACCGAAGAGGCUAGCAAAUGGCGGAAAGGUAAAAGUGCGUAUAAUCCAUGGACUCAACAUUAGUCAAAAGAACUCAUAUACUUAUUGCAAAAAAUUUAGAAGUCAUAAAAAAUCAAGUACUACGUGCAUGCUCCUAGGGGGAUAGAUUGGUAGGAAAAGACCAUCGCUCGUCCCCGACCGCCACUCAUAAGGAUGCACAAGCCAGGUACACUUCAUGCUUCAAAUUUGUUACACAACUUUAACCAUACGUGCAUGCUACGGGACUUGCUAACUUCAACACAAGUAUUUCUCAAAUUCACAACUACUCAACUAGCACGACUAUGAUAUUAUCACCUCCAUAUCUCAAAACAAUUAUCAAGCAUCAAACUUAUCUUAGUAUUCAACCCACUAAAAAGAAAGUUUCACAUAUCUUGAAUACCAAGUAUAUUAACAUUAAGCAAAUUACCAUGCUAUUAACGACUCUCAAAAUAAUCUAAGUGAAGCAUGAGAGAUCAAGUUUCUUUAAAAGAAUCCACCACCGUGCUCUAAAAGAUCUAAGUGAAGCACUAGAGCAAAAAUUAUCACGCUCAAAAAGAUAUAAGUGAAGCACAUAGAGUAUUCUAACAAAUUUCAAUUCAUACAUGGCUCUCUCAAAAGGUGUGUACAGCAAGGAUGAUUGUGGUAGACUAACAAGCAAAGACACAAAUAAUACAAGACGCUCCAAGCAAAACACAUAUCAUGUGGUGAAUAAAAAUAUAGCUCCAAGUAAAUUACCGAUGGAAGUGGACGAAAGAGGGGAUGCCUUCCGGGGCAUCCCCAAGCUUUGAAUUUUUGGUGUCCUUGGAUUAUCUUGGGGGUGCCAUGGGCAUCCCCAAGCUUAGGCUCUUGCCACUCCUUGUUCCAUAAUCCAUCAAAAGAAUUCACCCAAAACUUGAAAACUUCACAACACAAAACUCAAUAGAAAUCUCGUGAGCUCCGUUAGAGAAAGAAAACAAAAGACUACUUUAAGGUACUGUAGUGAAAUUGUUCUUUAUUUGUAUUGGUGUUAAACCUACUGUAUUCCAACUUCUCUAUGGUUUAUAAACUAUUUUACUGGCCAUAGAUUCAUCAAAAUAAGCAAACAACACACGCAAAACAGAAUCUGUCAAAAACAGAACAGUCUGUAGUAAUAUGGAUCAAACGUAUACUUCUGGAACCCAAAAAAUUCUAAAAUAAAUUUCUGGACCUGAGGAAUUUAUCUAUUAAUCAUCUUCAAAAGGAAUUAACUAAAUAGCACUCUCCAAUAAAAAAUGGCAUCAAUUCUCGUGAGCGCUAAAGUUUCUGUUUUUGACAGCAUGAUCAACAAGACUUUCCCCAAGUCUUCCCAAAGGUUCUAGUUGGCACAAACACUAAUUAAAAACAUAAAACCACAUCUAAGCAGAGGCUAGAUGAAUUAUUUAUUACUAAACAGGAACAAAAAGCAAUGAACAAAAAUAAAGUUGGGUUGCCUCCCAACAAGCGCUAUCGUUUAACGCCCCUAGCUAGGCAUGAUGAUUUCAAUGAUGCUCAUAUAAAAGAUAAGAAUUGAAACAUAAAGAGAGCAUCAUUAAGAAUAUGACUAGCACAUUUAAGUCUAACAUAAUUCCUAUGCAUAGGUAUUUUUUGAGAAAACAACUUGUGGGGACAAGAAUCAACUUGCAUAGGAAGGUAAAACAAGCAUAACUUCAAAAUUUUAAGCACAUAGAGAGGAAACUUGAUAUUAUUGCAAUUCCUACAAGCAUAUAUUCCUCCCUCAUAAUAAUUUUAAGUAGCAUCAUGAAUGAAUUCAACAAUAUAACCAGCACCUAAAGCAUUCUUUUCAUGAUCUACAAGCAUAGAAAAUUUACUACUCUCCACACAAGCAAAAUUCUUCUCAUUAAUAAUGGUGGGAGCAAACUCAACAAAAUAACUAUCAUGUGAUUGAAAAUCAAGAUCAAGAUGACAAGUUUCAUUGUUAUUAUUAUUCUUUAAAGCAUACGUGUCAUCACAAUAAUCAUCAUAGAUAGGAGGCUUGCUUUCAUCAUAGUAAAUUUGCUCAUCAAAGCUUGGGGGACAAAAAAUAUCAUCUUCAUCAAACAUAGCUUCUCCAAGCUUGUGGCUUUGCAUAUCAUUAGCAUCAUAGAUAUUCAAGGAAUUUAUACUAACAACAUUGCAAUCAUGCUCAUCAUUCAAAUAUUUAGUGCCAAACAUUUUAUAGAUUUCUUCUUCUAGCACUUGAGCACAAUUAUCCUUUCCAUCAUACUCACGAAAGAUAUUAAAAAGGUGAAGCGUAUGAGACAAACUCAAUUCAAUUUUUUGUAAUUUCUUUUAUAAACUAAACUAGUGAUAAAACAAGAAACUAAAAGACUCGAUUGCAAGAUCUAAAGAUAUACCUUCAAGCACUAACCUCCUCGGAAACGGCGCCAGAAAAGAGCUUGAUGUCUACUACACAACCUUCUUCUUGUAGACGUUGUUGGGCCUCCAAGUGCAGAGGUUUGUAGGACAGUAGCAAAUUUCCCUCAAGUGGACGACCUAAGGUUUAUCAAUCCGUAUGAGGCGUAGGAUGAAGAUGGUCUCUCUCAAGCAACCCUGCAACCAAAUAACAAAGAGUCUCUUGUGUCCCCAACACACCCAAUACAAUGGUAUAUUAUAUAGGUGCACUAGUUCGGCGAAGAGAUGGUGAUACAAGUGCAAAAUAGAUAGUAGAUAUAGGUUUUUGUAAACUGAAAAUAUAAAAACAGCAAGGUAGCAAGUGGUAAAAGUGAGCGUAAACGGUAUUGCAAUGAUAGGAAACAAGGCCUAGGGUUCAUACUUUAGUGUAAGUCCUCUCAACAAUACUAACAUAAUUGGAUCAUAAAAUUAUCCCUCAACAUGCAACAAAGAGUCACUCCAAAGUCACUAAUAGCGGAGAAUGAACGAAGAGAUUAUGGUAGGAUACGAAACCACCUCAAAGUUAUUCUUUCCAAUCAAUACGUUGGGCUAUUCCUAUAAGUGUCACAAACAGCCCUAGAGUUCGUACUAGAAUAACACCUUAAGAUACAAAUCAACCAAAACCCUAAUGUCACCUAGAUACUUCAAUGUCACCUCAAGUAUCCAUAGGCAUGAUUAUACGAUAUGCAUCACACAAUCUCAGAUUUAUCCAACCAACAUAAAAGUACUUCAAAUAGUGCCCCAAAGUUUCUACCGGAGAAUCAAGAACGUGUGCCAACCCCUAUGCAUAGGUUCAUGGGCGGAACCCACAAGUUGGUCACCAAAACAUACAUCAAGUGGCACGUGAUAUCCCAUUGUCACCACAGAUAAGCACGGCAAGACAUACAUCAUAAAAGACUCAAUCCGAUAAGAUAACUUCAAAGGGGAAACUCAAUUCAUCACAAGAGAGUAGAGGGGGAGAAGAAACAUAAGAUCCAACUACAAUAGCAAAGCUUGGGAUACAUCAAGAUCUUGCCAUAGAUGGAACACAAGAGAGAGAGAGAUCAAACACAUAGCUACUGGUACAUACCCUCAGCCCCGAGGGUGAACUACUCCCUCCUCGUCAUGGAUAGCGCCGGGAUGAUGAAGAUGGCCACCGAAGAUGGAUCCCCCCUCCGGCAGGGUACCGGAAAGGGGUCCCGAUUGGUUUUUCGUGGUUCUGGAGGCUUGCGGCGGCAGAACUCCCGAUCUAUCUUCUCCCGGAUGUUUUUAGGGUAUAUGGAGAUAUAUAGGCGGAAGAAGUACAUCAGGGGAGCUCCGAGGGGCCCACGAGGCAGGGGGCGCGCCCAGGGAGGGGGGCGCACCCUCCACCCUCGUGACCUCCCCAGAAACUUCUUGGAGUAGGGUCCAAGUCUCUUGGAUCACGUUCCCGAAGGUUUCAUUCCGUUUGGACUCCGUUUGAUAUUCUGUUUCCUCGAAAUACUGAAAUAGGCAAAAAAACAGCAAUUCUGGGCUGGGCCUCCGGUUAAUAGGUUAGUCCCAAAAAUAAUAUAAAAGUGGAAAAUAAAGCCCAAUAUUGUCCAAAACAGUAGAUAAAGUAGCAUGGAGCAAUAAAAAAUUAUAGAUACGUUGGAGACGUAUCAAUGUGAAGCGGAGUACAUAGCAGCCUCGGAGGCAGCACAAGAAGCAGUCUGGGUGAAGGAGUUCAUUACCGACCUAGGAGUCAUACCCAAUGCAUCGGGCCCGAUGACUCUCUUCUGUGACAACACUGGAGCUAUUGCCCUUGCCAAGGAGCCCAGGUUUCACAGGAAGACCAGGCAUAUCAAGCGGUCGCUUCAACUCCAUUCGUGAAAGUGUUCAAAAUGGAGACAUAGAAAUCCGUAAAGUACAUACGGACCUGAAUGUAGCAGAUCCAUUGACUAAACCUCUCCCUAGUGCAAAACAUGAUCAACACCAGAACUGCAUGGGUGUUCGAUUCAUCACAAUGUAACUAGAAUAUUGACUCUAGUGCAAGUGGGAGACUGUUGGAAAUAUGCCCUAGAGGCAAUAAUAAAAUGGUUAUUAUUAUAUUUCUUUGUUCAUGAUAAUUUUCUAUUGUUCAUGCUAUAAUUGUGUUAUCCGGAAAUUGUAAUACAUGUGUGAAUAUAUAGACCACAACACGUCCCUAGUGAGCCUCUAGUUGACUAGCUCGUUGAUCAAAGAUAGUCAUGGUUUCCUGACUAUGGACAUUAGAUGUCAUUGAUAAUGGGAUCACAUCAUUAGGAGAAUGAUGUGAUGGACAAGACCCAAUCCUAAGCUUAGCUCAAAGAUCGUGUAGUUCGUUUGCUGUAGCUUUUCUGAAUGUCAAGUAUCAUUUCCUUAGACCAUGAGAUUGUGCAACUCCCGGAUACCGUAGGAGUGCCUUGGGUGUGCCAAACGUCACAACGUAAAUGGGUGACUAUGAAGGUACAUUACAGGUAUCUCCGAAAGUGUCUGUUGGGUUGGCACGAAUCGAGACUGGGAUUUGUCACUCCGUAUGACGGAGAGGUAUAUCUGGGCCCACUCGGUAAUGCAUCAUCAUAAUGAGCUCAAAGUGAUCAAGUGAUUGAUCACGGGAUCAUGCAUUACGGUACGAGUAAAGUGACUUGCCGGUAACGAGACUGAACAAGGUAUUGGGAUAUCGACGAUCGAGUCUCGGGCAAGUAACGUACCGAUUGACAAAGGGAAUUGUAUACGGAUUGAUUGAAUCCUCAACAUCGUGGUUCAUCCGAUGAGAUCAUCGUGGAGCUUGUGGGAGCCAACAUGGGUAUCCAGAUCCCGCUGUUGGUUAUUGACCGGAGAGGCUUCUCGGUCAUGUCUGCAUGUCUCCCGAACCCGUAGGGUCUACACACUUAAGGUUCGAUGACGCUAGGGUUGUAGAGAUAUUAGCACACAGUAACCCGAAAGUUGUUAGGAGUCCCGGAUGAGAUCCCGGACAUCACGAGGAGUUCAAGAAUGGUCCGGAGGUAAAGAUUUAUAUAUAGGAAGUCCAGUUUCGGCCUUCGGGAAGGUUUCGGGGUCAACGGUAUUGUACCGGGACCACCGGAAGGGUCCGGGGGUCCACCGGGUGGGGCCACCUAUCCUAGAGGGCCCCAUGGGCUGAAGUGGGAGGGGAACCAGCCCCUAGUGAGCUGGUGCGCCCCCCCCUUGGGCCUCCCCCUGCGCCUAGGGUUAGAAACCCUAGGGGUGGGGGCGCCACCCUUGCCUUGGGGGGCAAGGCACCCCCUUGGCCGCCGCCCCCCUAUGAGAUUGGAUCUCCUAGGGCCGGCGCCCUCCCUUAGGCACCCUAUAUAUAGUGGGGGGGAGGGAGGGCUGUGCACCCAAGCCCCUGGCCUCUCCCUCUCCCUCCCGUGACACUCCUCCAUCUCCCAGCGCUUGGCAAAGCCCUGCCGAGAUCACCGUUGCUUCCACCACCACGCCGUCGUGCUGCUGGAUCUUCAUCAACCUCUCCUUCCCCCUUGCUGGAUCAAGAAGGAGGAGACGUCUCCCAACCGUACGUGUGUUGAACGCGGAUGUUCUGUCCAUUCGGCACUAGGUCAUCGGUGAUUUGAAUCACGUCGAGUACGACUCCAUCAACCCCGUUCUCUUGAACGCUUCCGCUCGUGAUCUACAAGGGUAUGUAGAUGCACUCCUCUCUCCCUCGUUGCUAGAUGACUCCAUAGAUUGAUCUUGGUGAUGCGUAGAAAAUUUUAUAAUUCUGCUACGUUCCCCAACACCGGAACCACCGGAAAGGUCCCGGGGGUCCACCAGGUGGGGCCACCAGCCCCAGAAGGCUGCGUGGGCCAAGUGUGGGAGGGGACUAGCCCCAGGUGGGCUGGUGCAACCCCCCCCCACCAAGGCCCAAGGCGCAUGGAGAGUGGGAGGGGGGAAACCCUAGGUCCAGAUGGGCCUUAAGGCCCACCCUGGGGCGCCCCCUCUCUUCCCCCCUUGGCCGCACCCUAGAUGGGUUUUGGGGGCUGCCGCCACCCCUAGGGAUGGAACCCUAGAUGGGGGCGCAGCCCCUUCCCUUCCCCUAUAUAUACUUGAGGUAUGGGGCUGCCCAACAGAUGAUUUAGAUCUUCCUCUUGGCGCAACCCUACCUCUCUCCCUCCUCGUCUCUCGUAGUGCUUGGCAAAGCCCUGCUGGAGUCCCGCGCUCCUCCACCAUCACCACGCCAUCGUGCUGCUGCUGGACGGAGUCUUCCCCAACCUCUCCCUCUCUCCUUGCUGGAUCAAGGCGCGGGAGACGUCACCGGGCUGUACGUGUGUUGAACGCGAAGACGCCGUUGUUCGGUGCUUAGAUCGGAAUCGACCGCGAUCUGAAUUGCUGCGUGUACGACUCCACCAACCGCGUUCUUGCAACGCUUCUGCUUAGCGAUCUACAAGGGUAUGUAGAUGCACUCCCCUUCCCCUCGUUGCUAGAUUACUCCAUAGAUUGAUCUUGGUGAUGCGUAGAAAAUUUUAAAUUUCUGCUACGAUCCCCAACUGUGGCAUCAUGAGCUAGGUCUAUGCGUAGUUUCUAUGCAUGAGUAGAACACAAAGUAGUUGUGGGCGAUGAUUUGUUCAAUUUGCUUGCCAUUACUAGUCUUAUCUUGAUUCGGCGGCAUUGUGGGAUGAAACGGCCCGGACCGACCUUACACGUACGCUUACGUGAGACUGUUUCCACCGACUAACAUGCACUUGAUGCAUAAGGUGGCUGGCGGGUGUCUGUCUCUCCCACUUUAGUCGGAUCGGAUUCGAUGAAAAGGGUCCUUAUGAAGGGUAAAUAGCAAUUGGCAUAUCACCGUUGUGGUUUUGCGUAGGUAAGAAAUGUUCUUGCUAGAAACCCAUAGCAGCCACGUAAAAUAUGCAACAACAAUUAGAGGACGUCUAACUUGUUUUUGCAGGGUAUGCUAUGUGAUGUGAUAUGGCCAAAAGGAUGUGAUGAAUGAUAUAUGUGAUGUAUGAGAUUGAUCAUGUUCUUGUAAUAGGAAUCACAACUUGCAUGUUGAUGAGUAUGACAACCGGCAGGAGCCAUGGGAGUUGUCUUAAUUUAUUUAUGACCUACGUGUCAAUGAAAACGCCAUGUAAUUACUUUACUUUAUUGCUAACCGUUAGCCAUAGUAGUAGAAGUAAUAGUUGGCGACGCAACUUCAUGAAGACAUGAUGACGGAGAUCAUGGUGUCAUGCCGGUGACGAUGGUGUUCAUGCCACACAUCGAAGAUGGAGAUCAAAGGCGCAAGAUGAUAUUGGCCAUAUCAUGUCACUUUAUGAUUUGCAUGUGAUGUUUGUCAUGUUUACAUCUUAUUUGCUUAGAACGACGGUAGCAUAAAUAAGAUGAUCCCUCGCAAUAAUUUCAAGAAAGUGUUCCCCCUAACUGUGCACCGUUGCUAAGGUCCGUUGUUCCGAAGCACCACGUGAUGCUCGGGUGUGAUAGGUUCUAACGUUCGCAUACAACGGGUGUAAGCCAGAUUUACACACGCAAUACACUUAGGUUAACUUGACGAGCCUAGCAUGUACAGACAUGGCCUCGGAACACGGAAGACCGAAAGGUCGAACAUGAGUUGUAUAGUGGAUACGAUCAACAUGAAGAUGUUCACCGAUGAUGACUAGUCCGUCUCACGUGAUGAUCGGACACGGCCUAGGUGACUCGGAUCAUGUAUCACUUAGAUGACUAGAGGGAUGUCUAUCUAAGUGGGAGUUCAUUGAAUAAUUUGAUUAGAUGAACUUAAUUAUCAUGAACAUAGUCCAAAGGUCUUUGCAAAUUAUGUCGUAGCUCACACUUUGGUUCUAUUGUUUUAGAUAUGUUCCUAGAGAAAAUUUAGUUAAGAGUUGACAGUAGCAAUUAUGCGGACUGACUCCGUGAACUGAGGAUUGUCCUCAUUGCUACACAGAAGGGCUAUGUCCUUAAUGCACCGCUCAGUGUGUUGAACCUCGAGCGUCGUCUGUAGAUGUUGGGAAACAUCUGACAUACACGUUUUGAUGACUACGUGAUAGUUCAAUACGUAAUACUAACGGUUUAGAAUUGUGGCACCAGCGACGUUUUGAAACGUCGCAGAACAUAUGAGAUGUUCCAAAGACUGAAAUUGGAAUUUCAGACUAGUGCCCACGUCAAGAGGUAUGAGACCUUUGACAAGUUUCUUAAGCCUGCAAACUAAGGGAGAAAAACUCAAUCGUUGAGCAUGUGCUCAGAUUGUCUGAGUACUGCAAUUGCUUGAAUCAAGUGGGAGUUAAUCUUCCAGAUGAGAUAGUGAUAGUUCUCCAUAGUCACUACCACCAAGCUAUUAGAGCUUAGUGAUGAACUAUAACAUAUCAGGGAUAGACAUGAUGAUCCUUGAGCAACUCGCGAUGUUUGACACCACGAAAGUAGAAAUCAAGUAGGAUCAUCAAUUGUUGAUGGUUAAACCACUAGUUUCAAGAAGGGCAAGGGAAAGAAGGGAUACUUCAUGAGACAGCAAAUCAGUUACUGCUCUAGUGAAGAAACCCAAGGUUGAACCAAACCCGAGACUAAGUGCUUCUAUAAUGAGGGGAACGGUCACUGAAGCAGAACUACCCUAGAUACUUGGUAGAUGAGAAGGCUGGCAAGGUCGACAGAAGUAUUUUGGAUAUACGUCAUAUUAUUGUGUACUUUACUAGUACUCCUAGUAGCACCAGGGUAAUAAAUACCGGUUCGGUUGCUAAGCGUUAGUAACUCGAAAUAAAAGGCUGCGGAGACUAGCUAAAGGUGAGAUGAUGAUAUGUGUUGGAAGUGUUACCAAGGUUGAUGUGAUCAAACAUUGCACGCUCCCUCUACCAUCGGGAUUGGUGUUAAACCGAAAUAAUUGUUAUUUGGUGUUUACGUUGAGCAUAGACAUGAUUGGAUUAUGUUUAUCGCCACAUGGUUAUCCAUUUAAGGAGAAUAAUGGUUACUCUGUUUAUUUGAAUAAUGCCUUCAAUGGUCUUGCACCUAAAAUGAAUGGUUUAUUGAAUCUCGAUCGUAGUGAUACACAUGUUCAUGCCAAAAGAUAUAAGAUAGUAAUGAUAGUACCACGUACUUGUGGCACUGUCAUUUGAGUCAUGUUGGUAUAAAACGCAUGAAGAAGCUCCAUGUUGAUGGAUCUUUGGACUCACUCGUUUUGAAAGGAUUGAGACAUGCGAACCAUGUCUAUUGGUAGAUAUGCAUGAAGAAACUCCAUAUAGAUGGAUCGUUUGGACUCACUUGAUUUUGAAUCACUUGAGACAUGCAAAUCAUACCACAUGGGCAAGAUGACUGAAAUGCCUCGUUUUUAGUAAGAUGGAACAAGAAAGCAACUUGUUGGAAGUAAUACAUUUUUGAUGUGUGCAGUCCAAUGAGUGUUGAGGCACGCAGUGGAUAUCGUUAUGUUCUUACUUCAUAGAUGAUUUGAGUAAAUGCUGAGUAUAUUUACUUGAUGGAACACAUGUCUGAAUUAUUGAAAGGUUCAAGUAAUUUCAGAGUGAAGUUGAAGAUCGUCGUGACAAGAUGAUAAAAUAUCUAUGAUAUGAUCAUAGAGAUGAAUAUCUGAGUUACGAGUUUGGCACACAAUUAAGACAUUGUGGAAAUUGUUUCACACUAAUACCGCCUGGACCACCAUAGUGUGAUGGUGUGUCCGAACAUCACAACUACACCCUAUUGGAUAUGGUGCAUACCAUGAUGUCUCUUAUCGAAUUACCACUAUCAUUUAUGGGUUAGGCAUUAGAGACAACCGCACUCACUUUAAAUAGGGCACCACACAAUUCCGUUGAGACGACACCGUAUGAACUAUGGUUUAGAGAAACCUAAGCUGUCGUUCCUUAAAAGUUUGGGGCUGCGAUGCUUAUGUGAAAAGGUUUCAGGCUGAUAAGCUCGAACCCAAAGCAGAUAAAUGCAUCUUCAUAGAAUACCCUAAAAUAGUUGGGUAUACCUCCUAUUCUAGAUCCGGAAGCAAAAGUGAUUGUUUCUAGAAACAGGUCCUUUCUCGAGGAAAAGUUUCUCUCGAAAGAAUUGAGUGGGAUUAUGGUGGAGACUUGAUGAGGUUAUUGAACCGUCACUUCAACUAGUGUGUAGCAGGGCACAGGAAGUUGUUCCUGUGGCACCUACACCAAUUGAAGUGGAAGCUUAUGAUAAUGAUCAUGAAACUUCGGAUCAAGUCACGACCAAACCUCAUAGGUCGACAAGGAUGUGUACUACUUCAGAGUGGUACGUAAUCUUGUCAUGGAAAUCAUGUUGCUAGACAACAAUGAACCUACGAGCUAUGGAGAAGCGAUGGUGGGCCCGGAUUCUGACGAAUGGCUCAAGGCCAUAAAAUCUGAGAGAGGGUCCAUGUAUAAAACAAAGUAUAGACUUUGAAAAGAACUACUUGAUGGUCGUAAGGCUGUUGGGUGCAGAUGGAUUUUAAAAGGAAGAUGGACAAUGAUGGUAAGUGUCACCAUUAAGAAAGCCCGACUUGUCGUUAAGAUGUUUCUCGACAAGUUCAAGGAGUUGACUACGAUGAGACUUUCUCACUCAUAGUGAUGCUAAGAGUCUGUUGGAAUUAUGUUAGCAGUUACUGCAUUAUUUAUGAAAUCUUGCAGAUAGGAUGUCAAAACAUUGUUUCCUCAAUGUUUUUCUUGAGGAAAGGUUGUAUGUGAUACAACCAGAAGGUUUUGUCAAUCCUGAAAGAUGCUAACAAGUAUGCAAAGCUCCAGCAAUCCUUUUAAGGACUGGAGUAAGCAUCUCGGAAUUGGAAUGUACGCUUUGAUGAGAUGAUCAGAGAUUUUGGGUUUAUACAAAGUUUAUGAGAAACUUGUAUUUCCAAAGAAGUGAGUGGGAGCACUACAGAAUUUUUGAUGAGUAUAUGUUGUUCACAUAUUGUUGAUUAGAAAUGAUGUAGAAUUUCUGGAAAGCAUGCAGGGUUAUUUGAAAAGUGUUUUCCAAUGGAAAACCUGGAUUAAGCUACUUGAACACUGAGCAUCAAGAUCUAUCAGGAUAGAUCAAAAUCGCUUAAUAGUACUUUCAAACGAACACAUACCAUGACAAAAUUUUGAAGGAGUUCAAAAAUAGACCGGCAAAGGAGUUCUUGGCUGAGUUAUAAGGUAUGAGUAUUGAGUAAAACUCAAGACCUGACCACGAUAGAAUAGAGAGAAAGGACGAAGGUCGUCCCCUAUGCUUUGGACAUAGGCUCUAAAGUAUGCAAUGUUGUGUACCGCACCUGAAGUGUGCUAAGCCAUGAGUCAGUCAAGGGGUACAAGUGUGAUCUAGGAAUGGAUCACAGGAGAACGGUCAAGGUUAUCCUUAGUAACUAGUGGACUAAGGAAUUUUCUCGAUUAUGGAGGUGGUAAAAGAGUUCGUCGUAAAGGGUUACGUCGAUGCAAACUUUGACACUAAUCCGGAUGACUCUGAGUAGUAAACCGGAUUCGUAUAGUAGAACAGUUAUUUGGAAUAGCUCCAAAUAGCGCGUGGUAGCUGCAUCUACAAGAUGACAUAGAGAUUUGUAAAGCACACAUGGAUCUGAAAGGUUCAGACUCAUUGACUAAUAAACCUCUCUCACAAGCAAGAUAUGAACAAACCCCAUGGGUGUUGGAUUCAUUGCAAUCACAUAGUGAUGUGACCUAGAUUAUUGACUCUAGUGCAAGUGGGUGACUAUUGGAAAUAUGCCCUAGAGGCAAUAAUAAAUUAGUUAUUAUUAUAUUUCCUUGUUCAUGAUAAUCGUUUAUUAUCCAUGCUAGAAUUGUAUUGAUAGGAAACUCAGAUACAUGUGUGGAUACAUAGACAACGCCAUGUCCCUAGUAAGCCUCUAGUUGACUAGCUCGUUGAUCAAUAGAUGGUUACGGUUUCCUGACCAUGGACAUUGGAUGUCAUUGAUAACGGGAUCACAUCAUUAGGAGAAUGAUGUGAUGGACAAGACCCAAUCCUAAGCCUAGCACAAGAUCGUGUAGUUCGUAUGCUAAAGCUUUUCUAAUGUCAAGUAUCAUUUCCUUAGACCAUGAGAUUGUGUAACUCCCGGAUACCGUAGGAAUGCUUUGGGUGUACCAAAUGUCACAACGUAACUGGGUGGCUAUAAAGGUGCACUAUGGGUAUCUCCGAAAGUGUCUGUUGGCUUGGCACGAAUUGUUGGGGAACAUAGUAAUUUCAAAAAAAUUCCUACGCACACGCAAGAUCAUGGUGAUGAAUAGCAACGAGAGGGGAGAGUGUUGUCUACGUACCCACGUAGACCGGAAGCGGAAGCGUUAGCACAACGCGGUUGAUGUAGUCGUACGUCUUCACGGCCCGACCGAUCAAGCACCAAAACUACGGCACCUCCGAGUUCUAGCACACGUUCAGCUCGAUGAUCAUCCCCAGACUCCGAUCCAGCAAAGUGUCGGGGAAGAGUUCCGUCAGCACGACGGCGUGGUGAUGAUCUUGAUGUUCUACCGUCGCAGGGCUUCGCCUAAGCACCGCUACAAUAUUAUCGAGGAUUAUGGCGGAGGGGGGCACCGCACACGGCUAAGAGAACGAUCAUGAAGAUCAACUUGUGUGUCUAGAGGUGCCCCCCUGCCCCUGUAUAUAAAGGAGCAAGGGGGAGAGGCCGGCCAGCCCUUGGGGCGCACCAAGGAGGGGGGAGUCCUCCUCCUAGUAGGAGUAGGACUCCCCUUUCCUAGUCCAACUAGGAAGAGAGAAGGGGGAAGGAAAGAGAGGGAGAGGGAGAGGGAAAGAGGGGCUGCGCCCCCCUCCCCUAGUCCAAUUCGGACUCCCCAUGGGAGGGGGCGCACCACCUCCUGGGUUGCUGCCCUCUCUCUCCCCUCAGGCCCACUAAGGCCCAAUACUUCGGGGGGUUCCGGUAACCCUUCCGGCACUCCGGUUUUCUCUGAAAUCACCCGAAACACUUCCGGUGUCCGAAUAUAGCCGUCCAAUAUAUUGAUCUUUAUGUCUCGACCAUUUUGAGACUCCUCGUCAUGUCCGUGAUCAUAUCCGAGACUCCGAACAAUCUUUGGUACAUCAAAAUAUAUAAACUCAUAAUGAAACUGUCAUCGUAACGUUAAGCGUGCGGACCCUACGGGUUCGAGAAUAAUGUAGACAUGACCGAGACACGUCUCCGGUCAAUAACCAAUAGCGGAACCUGGAUGCUCAUAUUGGCUCCUACAUAUUCUACGAAGAUCUUUUAUCGGUCAGACCGCAUAACAACAUACGUUGUUCCCUUUGUCAUCGGUAUGUUACUUGCCCGAGAUUUGAUCGUCGGUAUCUCAAUACCUAGUUCAAUCUCGUUACCGGCAAGUCUCUUUACUCGUUCCGUAAUACAUCAUCCCGCAACUAACUUAUUAGUUGCAAUGCUUGCAAGGCUUAUGUGAUGUGCAUUAUCGAGAGGGCCCAGAGAUACCUUUCCAACAAUCGGAGUGACAAAUCCUAAUCUCGAAAUACGCCAACCCAACAAGUACCUUCGGAGACACAUGUAGAGCACCUUUAUAAUCACCCAGUUACGUUGUGACGUUUGGUAGCACACAAAGUGUUCCUCCAGUAAACGGGAGUUGCAUAAUCUCAUAGUCAUAGGAACAUGUGUAAGUCACGAAGAAAGCAAUAUCAUCAAACUAAACGAUCAAGUGCUAAGCUAACAAAAUGGGUCAAGUCAAUCACAUCAUUCUCCUAAUGAUGUGAUCCCGUUAAUCAAAUGACAACUCAUGUCUAUGGCUAGGAAACUUAACCAUCUUCGAUCAAUGAGCUAGUCAAGUAGAGGCAUACUAGUGACACUAUGUUUGUCUAUGUAUUCACACGUGUAUUAUGUUUCUAGUUAAUACAAUUCUAGCAUGAAUAAUAAACAUUUAUCAUGAUAUAAGGAAAUAAAUAAUAACUUUAUUAUUGCCUCUAGGGCAUAUUUCCUUCAGUCUCCCACUUGCACUAGAGUCAAUAAUCUAGAUUACACAAUAAUGAUUCUAACACCCAUGGAGCCUUGGUGUUGAUGAUGUUUUGCUCGUGGAAGAGGCUUAGUCAGCGGGUCUGCAACAUUCAGAUCCGUAUGUAUCUUGCAAAUUUCUAUGUCUCCCACUUGGACUAAAUCCUGAAUGGAAUUGAAGCGUCUCUUGAUGUGCUUGGUUCUCUUGUGAAAUCUGGAUUCCUUUGCCAAGGCAAUUUCACCAGUAUUGUCACAUAAGAUUUUCAUUGGACCCGAUGCACUAGGUAUGACACCUAGAUCAGAUAUGAACUCCUUCAUCCAGACUCCUUCAUUUGCUGCUUCCGAAGCAGCUAUGUACUCUGCUUCACAUGUAGAUCCCGCCACGACGCUUUGUUUUGAACUGCACCAACUGACAGCUCCCCCGUUUAGUAAAAAUACGUAUCCGGUUUGCGAUUUAGAAUCGUCCGGAUCUGUGUCAAAGCUUGCAUCAACGUAACCAUUUACGAUGAGCUCUUUGUCACCUCCAUAUACGAGAAACAUAUCCUUAGUCCUUUUCAGGUAUUUCAGGAUGUUCUUGACCGCUGUCCAGUGAUCCACUCCUGGAUUACUUUGGUACCUCCCUGCUAGACUUAUAGCAAGGCACACAUCAGGUCUGGUACACAUCAUUGCAUACAUGAUAGAGCCUAUGGCUGAAGCAUAGGGAACAUCUUUCAUUUUCUCUCUAUCUUCUGCGGUGGUCGGACAUUGAGUCUUACUCAACUUCACACCUUGUAACACAGGCAAGAACCCUUUCUUUGCUUGAUCCAUUUUGAACUUCUUCAAAACCUUGUCAAGGUAUGUGCUUUGUGAAAGUCCAAUUAAGCGUCUUGAUCUAUCUCUAUAGAUCUUAAUGCCCAAUAUGUAAGCAGCUUCACCGAGGUCUUUCAUUGAAAAACUCUUAUUCAAGUAUCCCUUUAUGCUAUCCAGAAAUUCUAUAUUAUUCCAAUCAAUAAUAUGUCAUCCACAUAUAAUAUCAGAAAUGCUAUAGAGCUCCCACUCACUUUCUUGUAAAUACAGGCUUCUCCAAAAGUCUGUAUAAAACCAAAUGCUUUGAUCACACUAUCAAAGCGUUUAUUCCAACUCCGAGAGGCUUGCACCAGUCCAUAAAUGGAUCGCUGGAGCUUGCACACUUUGUUAGCUCCCUUUGGAUCGACAAAACCUUCUGGUUGCAUCAUAUACAACUCUUCUUCUAGAAAUCCAUUCAGGAAUGCAGUUUUGACAUCCAUUUGCCAAAUUUCAUAAUCAUAAAAUGCGACAAUUGCUAACAUGAUUCGGACAGACUUAAGCAUUGCUACGGGUGAGAAGGUCUCAUCGUAGUCAAUCCCUUGAACUUGUCGAAAACCUUUUGCAACAAGUCGAGCUUUAUAGACAGUAACAUUACCGUCAGCGUCAGUCUUAUUCUUGAAGAUCCAUUUAUUCUCAAUUGCUUGCCGAUCAACGGGCAAGUCAACCAAAGUCCACACUUUGUUCUCAUACAAGGAUCCCAUCUCAGAUUUCAUGGCUUCUAGCCAUUUUGCGGAAUCUGGGCUCACCAUCGCUUCUUCAUAGUUCGUAGGUUCAUCAUGAUCUAGUAGCAUGACUUCCAGAACAGGAUUACCAUACCACUCUGGUGCGGAUCUUACUCUGGUUGAUCUACGAGGUUCGGUAGUAACUUGAUCUGAAGUUUCAUGAUCAUUAUCAUUAGUUUCCUCACUAAUUGGUGUAAGUGUCACAGAAACCGGUUUCUGUGAUGUACUACUUUCCAAUAAGGGAGCGGGUAUAGUUACCUCAUCAAGUUCUACUUUUCUCCCACUCACUUCUUUUGAGAGAAACUCCUUCUCUAGAAAAACUCCGAAUUUAGCAACAAAAGUCUUGCCUUCGGAUCUGUGAUAGAAGGUGUACCCAACAGUCUCCUUUGGGUAUCCUAUGAAGACACAUUUCUCCGAUUUGGGUUCGAGCUUAUCAGGUUGAAGCUUUUCACAUAAGCAUCGCAGCCCCAAGCUUUUAGAAACGACAACUUUGGUUUCUUGCCAAACCACAGUUCAUAAGGCGUCGUCUCAACGGAUUUCGAUGGUGUCCUAUUUAACGUGAAUGCAACCGUCUCUAAAGCAUAACCCCAAAAUGAUAACGGUAAAUCAGUAAGAGACAUCAUAGAUCGCACCAUAUCUAAUAAAGUACGAUUACGACAUUCGGACACACCAUUACGCUGUGGUGUUCCGGGUGGCGUGAGUUGCGAAACUAUUCCGCAUUGUUUCAAAUGUAGACCAAACUCGUAACUCAAAUAUUCUCCUCCACGAUCAGAUCGUAGAAACUUUAUUUUCUUGUUUCGAUGAUUUUCAAAUUCACUCUGAAAUUCUUUAAACUUUUCAAAUGUUUCAGACUUAUGUUUCAUUAAGUAGAUAUACCCAUAUCUUCUUAAAUCAUCUGUGAAGGUGAGAAAAUAACGAUAUCCGCCAUGAGCCUCAACAUUCAUUGGACCACAUACAUCUGUAUGUAUGAUUUCCAACAAAUCCGUUGCUCUCUCCAUAGUACCGGAGAACGGCGUUUUAGUCAUCUUACCCAUGAGGCACGGUUCGCAAGUACCAAGUGAUUCAUAAUCAAGUGGUUCCAAAAGUCCAUCAAUAUGGAGUUUCUUCAUGCGCUUUACACCGAUAUGACCUAAACGGCAGUGCCACAAAUAAGUUGCACUAUCAUUAUCAACUCUGCAUCUUUUGAUUUCAACAUUAUGAAUAUGUGUAUCACUACUAUCGAGAUUGAUCAAAAAUAGACCACUCUUCAAGGGUGCAUGACCAUAAACGAUAUUACUCAUAUAAAUAGAACAACCAUUAUUCUCUGAUUUAAAUGAAUAACCGUCUCGCAUCAAACAAGAUCCAGAUAUAAUGUUCAUGCUCAACGCUGGCACCAAAUUACAAUUAUUUAGGUCUAAUACUAAUCCCAAAGGUAGAUGUAGAGGUAGCGUGCCGAUCACGAUCACAUUGACUUUGGAACCAUUUCCCACGCGCAUCGUCACCUCGUCCUUAGCCAAUCUUUGCUUGAUCCGUAGCCCCUGUUUCGAGUUGCAAAUGUUAGCAAUAGAACCAGUAUCAAAUACCCAGGUGCUACUGCGAGCAUUAGUAAGGUACACAUCAAUAACAUGUAUAUCACAUAUACUUUUGUUCACUUUUCCAUCCUUCUUAUUCGUCAAAUACUUGGGGCAGUUCCGCUUCCAGUGACCAGUCUGCUUGCAGUAGAAGCACUCAGUUUCAGGCUUAGGUCCAGACUUGGGUUUCUUCUCCUGAGCAACAACUUAUUUGCUGUUCUUCUUGAAGUUCCCUUUCUUCUUUCCUUUGCCCUUUUUCUUGAAACUGGUGGUCUUAUUGAUCAUCAACACUUGAUGCUCCUUCUUGAUUUGUACCUCCGCGGCUUUUAGCAUUGCGAAGAGCUCAGGUAAAUAGUCUUAUUCAUCCCUUGCAUAUUAUAGUUCAUCACGAAGAUUUUGUAGCUUGGUGGCAGUGAUUGAAGAACUCUGUCAAUGACACUAUCAACAGGAAGAUUAACCCCCAGUUGAGUCAAGUGAUUAUGAUACCCAGACAUUUUGAGUAUAUGUUCACUGACAGAACUAUUCUCCCCCAUCUUGCAGCUAUAGAACUUAUUGGAGACUUCAUAUCUCUCAAUCCUGGCAUUUGCUUGAAAUAUUAACUUCAACUCCUGGAACAUCUCAUAUGCUCCAUGACGUUCAAAACGUCGUUGAAGACCCGGUUCUAAGCCGUAAAGCAUGGCAGACUGAACUAUCGAGUAGUCAUUAGCUUUGCUCUGCCAGACGUUCAUAACAUCUGGUGUUGCUCCUGCAGCAGGCUUGGCACUUAGCAGUGCUUCCAGGACGUAAUUCUUUGUGCAGCAAUGAGGAUAAUCCUCAAGUUACGGACCCAGUCCGUGUAAUUGCUACCAUCAUCUUUCAACUUUGCUUUCUCAAGGAACGCAUUAAAAUUCAACAGAACAACAACAUGAGCCAUCUAUCUACAAUCAAACAUAGACAAGCAAGAUACUAUCAGGUACUAAGUUCAUGAUAAAUUUAAGUUCAAUUAAUCAUAUUACUUAAGAACUCCCACUUAGAAAGAUAUCCCUCUAAUCCUCUAAGUGAUCACGUGAUCCAAAUCAACUAAACCAUGUCCGAUCAUCACGUGAGAUGGAGUAGUAUCAAUGGUGAACAUCAAUAUGUUGAUCAUAUCUACUAUAUGAUUCACGCUCGACCUUUCGGUCUCCGUGUUCCGAGGCCAUAUCUGUUAUAUGCUAGGCUCGUCAAGUUAAACCUGAGUAUUCCGCGUGUGCAACUGUUUUGCACCUGUUGUAUUUGAACGUAGAGCCUAUCACACCCGAUCAUCAUGUGGUGUCUCAGCACGAAGAACUUUUGCAACGGUGCAUACUCAGGGAGAACACUUAUACUUUGAUAAUUUAGUGAGGGAUCAUCUUAUAAUGCUACCGUCAAUCAAAGCAAGAUAAGAUGCAUAAAAGAUAAACAUCACAUGCAAUCAAUAUAAGUGAUAUGAUAUGGCCAUCAUCAUCUUGUGCUUGUGAUCUCCAUCUUCGAAGCACCGUCAUGAUCACCAUCGUCACCGUCGCAACACCUUGAUCACCAUCGUAGCAUCAUUGUCGUCUCGCCAAAACUUAUGCUUCCACGACUAUCGCUACCGCUUAGUGAUAAAGUAAAGCAUUACAGCGCAAUUGCAUUGCAUACAAUAAAGCGACAACCAUAUGGCUCCUGCCAGUUGCCGAUAACUUAGUUACAAAACAUGAUCAUCUCAUACAAUAAAAUUUAGCAUCAUGUCUUGACCAUAUCACAUCACAACAUGCCCUGCAAAAACAAGUUAGACGUCCUCUACUUUGUUGUUGCAAGUUUUACGUGGCUGCUACGGGCUUUAGCAAGAACCGUUCUUACCUACGCAUCAAAAACCACAACGAUAGUUUGUCAAGUUGGUGCUGUUUUAACCUUCGCAAGGACCGGGCGUAGCCACACUCGGUUCAACUAAAGUUGGAGAAACUGACACCCGCCAGCCACCUGUGUGCAAAGCACAUCGGUAGAACCAGUCUCGCGUAAGCGUACGCGUAAUGUCGGUCCGGGCCGCUUCAUCCAACAAUACCGCCGAACCAAAGUAUGACAUGCUGGUAAGCAGUAUGACUUAUAUCGCCCACAACUCAAUUGUGUUCUACUCGUGCAUAACAUCAACGCAUAAAGCCUGGCUCGGAUGCCACUGUUGGGGAACGUAGUAAUUUCAAAAAAUUUCCUACGCACACGCAAGAUCAUGGUGAUGCAUAGCAACGAGAGGGGAGAGUGUUGUCUAUGUACCCUCGUAGACCAGAAGCGGAAGCGUUAGCACAACGUGGUUGAUGUAGUCGUACGUCUUCACGGCCCGACCGAUCAAGCACCAAAACUACGGCACCUCCGAGUUCUAGCACACGUUCAGCUCGAUGACGAUCCCCGGACUCCGAUCCAGCAAAGUGUCGGGGAAGAGUUCCGUCAGCACGACGGCGUGGUGACGAUCUUGAUGUUCUACCGUCGCAGGGCUUCGCCUAAGCACUGCUACAAUAUUAUUGAGGAUUAUGGUGGAGGGGGCACCGCACACGGCUAAGAGAAUGAUCACGAAGAUCAACUUGUGUGUCUAGAGGUGUCCCCAUGCCCCUGUAUAUAAAGGAGCAAGGGGGAGAGGCCGGCUGGCCCUUGGGGCGCGCCAAGGAGAGGCGAGUCCUCCUCCUAGUAGGAGUAGGACUCCCCUUUCCUAGUCCAACUAGGAAGAGAGAAGGGGGGAGGAAAGAGAGGGAGAGGGAGAGGGAAAGAGGGCCCGCGCCCCCCUCCCCUAGUCCAAUUCGGACUCCCCAUGGGAGGGGGCGCGCCACCACCUGGGCUGCUGCUCUCUCUCUCCCCGCAGGCCCACUAAGGCCCAAUAUUUCCCCGGGGGGUUCCGGUAACCCUUCCGGCACUCCGGUUUUCUCCGAAAUCACCCGAAACACUUCCGGUGUCCGAAUAUAGCCGUCCAAUAUAUCGAUCUUUAUGUCUCGACCAUUUCGAGACUCCUUGUCAUGUCCGUGAUCAUAUCUGAGACUCCGAACAAUCUUCGAUACAUCAAAAUAUAUAAACUCAUAAUGAAACUGUCAUUGUAACGUUAAGCGUGCGGACCCUAUGGGUUCGAGAAUAAUGUAGACAUGACCGAGACACGUCUCUGGUCAAUAACCAAUAGCGGAACCUGGAUGCUCAUAUUGGCUCCUACAUAUUCUACGAAGAUCUUUUAUCGGUCAGACCGCAUAACAACAUACGUUGUUCCCUUUGUCAUCGAUAUGUUACUUGCCCGAGAUUUGAUCAUCGGUAUCUCAAUACCUAGUUCAAUCUCGUUACUGGCAAGUCUCUUUACUCGUUCCGUAAUACAUCAUCCCGCAGCUAACUUAUUAGUUGCAAUGCUUGCAAGGCUUAUGUGAUGUGCAUACCGAGAGGGCCCAGAGAUACCUCUCUGACAAUCGGAGUGACAAAUCCUAAUCUCGAAAUACGCCAACCCAACAAGUACCUUCGGAGACACCUGUAGAGCACCUUUAUAAUCACCCAGUUACGUUGUGACAUUUGGUAGCACACAAAGUGUUCCUCCGGUAAACGGGAGUUGCAUAAUCUCAUAGUCAUAGGAACAUGUAUAAGUCAUGAAGAAAGCAAUAGCAUCAAACAAAAUGAUCAAGUGCUAAGCUAACGAAAUGGGUCAAGUCAAUCACAUCAUUCUCCUAAUGAUGUGAUCCCGUUAAUCAAAUGACAACUCAUGUCUAUGGCUAGGAAACUUAACCAUCUUCGAUCAACGAGCUAGUCAAGUAGAGGCAUACUAGUUACACUAUGUUUGUCUAUGUAUUCACACAUGUAUUAUGUUUCCGGUUAAUACAAUUCUAGCAUGAAUAAUAAACAUUUAUCAUGAUAUAAGGAAAUAAAAAAUAACUUUAUUAUUGCCUCUUGGGCAUAUUUCCUUCACGAAUCGAGACUGGGAUUUGUCAUUCCGUGUAAUGGAGAGGUAUCUCUGGACCCACUCGGUAGGACAUCAUCAUAAUGUGCACAAUGUGACCAAGGAGUUGAUCACGGGAUGAUGUGUUACGGAACGAGUAAAGAGACUUGCCGGUAACGAGAUUGAAUGAGGUAUCGGGAUACCGACGAUCGAAUCUCGGGCAAGUAUCGUACCAAUAGACAAAGGGAAUUGUAUACGGGAUUGAUUGAAUCCUUGACAUCGUUGUUCAUCCGAUGAGAUCAUCGUGGAGCAUGUGGGAGCCAACAUGGGUAUCCAGAUCCCGCUGUUGGUUAUUGACCGGAGAGUUGUCUCGGCCAUGUCUGCAUGACUCCCGAGCCCAUAGGGUCUACACACUUAAGGUUCGAUGACGCUAGGGUUAUAGGGAAAGUAUGUACACGGUUACCUAAUGUUGUUCGGAGUCCCGGAUGAGAUCUCGGACGUCAUGAGGAGUUCCAGAAUGGUCCGGAGGUAAAGAUUUAUAUAUGGGAAGUCCCGUUUUGGUCACCAGAAAAGUUUCGGGUGCUAUCGGUAACGUACGAGGACCACCGGGAGGGUCCCAGGGGUCCACCAGGUGGGGCCACCAGCCCCAGAAGGCUGCGUGGGCCAUGUGUGGGAGGGGACCAGCCCCAGGUGGGCUGGUGCGCCCCCCACCAAGGCCCAAGGCGCAUGGAGAGUGGGAAUGGGGCAAACCCUAGGUCCAGAUGGGCCUUAAGGCCCACCCUGGGGCGCCCCCCUCUCUUCCCCCCUUGGCCGCACCCUAGAUGGGUUUUGGGGGCUGACGCCACCCCUAGGGAUGGAACCCUAGAUGGGGGUGCAGCACCUCCCCUUCCUCUAUAUAUACUUGAGGUAUGGGGCUGCCCAACACAUGAUUUAGAUCUCCCUCUUGGUGCAGCCCUACCUCUCUCCCUCCUCGUCUCUCGUAGUGCUUGGCGAAGCCCUGCUGGAGUCCCGCGCUCCUCCACCAUCACCACGCCGUCGUGCUGCUGCUGGACGGAGUCUUCCCCAACCUCUCCCUCUCUCCUUGCUGGAUCAAGGCGCGGGAGACGUCACCGGGUUGUAUGUGUGUUAAAUGCGGAGGCGCCGUUGUUCGGUGCUUAGAUCGGAAUCGACCACGAUCUGAAUUGCUACGUGUACGACUCCACCAACCGCGUUCUUGCAACGCUUCCGCUUAGCAAUCUACAAGGGUAUGUAGAUGCACUCCCCUUCCCCUUGUUGCUAGAUUACUCCAUAGAUUGAUCUUGGUGAUGCGUAGAAAAUUUUAAAUUUCUGCUACGAUCCCCAACAAAAGGUGGAUCAUAUUCAGUCCCAUCAUUAUCAAGAUUCAGAUUGCAAAACAAAGAUUUAAUAGGGGACACAUCAAUAACUUUUAGAUCUUCAUCUUUAUUUUCAUAGGAAAUAGAAGAACACGCUCUUAUAAAGGCAUCUUUCUUAGCACGCAUCCUAGUGGUUCUUUCUUUGCACUCAUCAAUGGACAUUCUCAUGGCUUUGAGAGACUCAUUGAUAUCAUGCUUAGGAGGAAUAGAUCUAAGUUUUAAAGAAUCAAAAUCAAGAGAAAUUCUAUCAACAUUCCUAGCCAAAUCAUCAACUUUAAGCAAUUUCUCUUCAAGCAAAGCAUUGAAAUUCUUUUGCGAAUUCAUAAAUUCCUUAACACUAUUCUCAAAUGCAGAGGGCAUCUUAUUGAAAUUUCCAUAAGAGUUGUUGUAGGAAUUUCCAGAAUUAUUAGAGGGAUUACUAGGAUAAGGCCUAGGAUUAAAGUUUCCUCUAUACGCGUUGUUACCAAAAUUAUUCCUACCAACAAAAUUCACAUCCAUAGAUUCAUUAUUGUUCCCAAUCAAAGUAGACAAGGGCAUAUCAUUAGGACCAGAAGAAACACUCUUACUAGCAAAUAAUUUCAUAAGUUCAUCCAUCUUUCCACUCAAAACAUUAAUUUCUUCUAUCGCAUGCACCUUUUUAUCAGUAGAUCUUUCAGUAUGCCAAUGAGAAUAAUUAACCAUAAUAUUAUCUAGGAGUUUAGUAGCUUCUCCUAAAGUGAUUUCCAUAAAAGUGCCUCCCGCGGCCGAAUCUAAAAGAUUUCUAGAAGCAAAAUUCAAUCCGGCAUAAAAAAUUUGUAUAAUCAUCCACAAAUUCAAACCAUGAGUAGGGCAAUUACGUAUCAUUAAUUUCAUCCUCUCCCAAGCUUGUGCAACAUGUUCAUGAUCAAGUUGCUUAAAAUUCAUAAUAUCGUUUCUAAGGGAGUUGAUCUUAGCGGGAGGAAAAUACUUAGAGAUAAAAGCAUCUUUGCACUUGUUCCAAGAAUCAAUACUAUUUUUAGGCAAAGACGAAAACCAAGAGUUAGCACGAUCUCUAAGCGAAAAAGGAAAUAGCUUCAACUUAACAAAAGCAUUGUCCACAUCUUUCUUAUUUUACAUAUCACACAAAUCAACGAAGCUAUUUAGAUGGGUAGCGGCAUCUUCACUAGGAAGGCCGAAAAACGGAUCUUUCAUGACAAGAUUCAGCAAAGCGACAUUAAUUUCACAAGAUUUAGCAUCGGUAAGAGGAGCAAUCGGAGUGCUAAUAAAAUCAUUGUUGUUGGUAUUGGUAAAGUCACACAAUCUAGUGUUAUCUUGAGCCAUCGUGACAAUCAAGCAAUCCAACACACAAGCAAACAAAAAGCAAGUGGGCAAAAAGAGGCAAAUAGAGAAAGAGAGGGAGGAUAGAGAGAGAGGGCGAAUAAAAUGGCAAGGAUGAAGUGGGGGAGAGGAAAACGAGAGGCAAAUGGCAAAUAAUGUAAUGCGGGAGAUAAGGGCUGUGAUGGGUACUUGGUAUGUUGACUUUUGCGUAGACUCCUGAUACGUCUCCAACGUAUCUAUAUUUUUUGAUUGUUCCAUGCUAUUAUAUUAACAACCUUGGAUGUUUUAUAUGCAUUUAUAUGAUAUUUUAUAUGAUUUUUGGGACUAACCUAUUAACCUAGAGCCCAGUGCCAGUUUAUGUUUUUCCCUUGUUUUAGAGUAUCGUAGAAAAGGAAAAUCAAACGGAGUCCAAUUGACCUGAAACUUCACGGAGCUUAUUUUUGGAACGGAAGCAAUCCAGAAGACGUGGGGUCUAUGUAAGGGAAGCAACGAGAAAGGCACGAGGCAGGGGGCGCGCCCACCCCCCUGGGCGCGCCCUUCACCCUCGUGGGCCCCUCGUGGCUUCCCUGACGUACUUCUUCCUCCUAUAUAUAUCCAUAUACCCUAAAAACAUCCGGGAGCACAAUAGAUCGGGAGUUUCGCCGCCAGAAGCCUCCGUAGCCACCAAAAACCAAUCUAGACCCGUUCUGGCACCCUGUCGAAGGGGAAAUCCUUCUCUGGUAUCCAUCUUCAUCAUCCCGGUGCUCUCCAUGAUGAGGAGGGAGUAGUUCUCCCUCGGGGCUGAGGGUAUGUACCAAAAGCUACGUGUUUGAUCUCUCUCUGUCUCGUGUUCUUGAGGUGAUACGUUCUUGAUGUAUUGCGAGCUUUGCUAUUAUAGUUGGAUCUUAUGAUGUUUCUCCCCCUCUACUCUCUUGUAAUGGAUUGAGUUUCCCCUAUUGAAGUUAUCUUAUCGGAUUGAGUCUUUAAAGAUUUGAGAACACUUGAUGUAUGUCUUGCCGUGUGUAUCAGUGGUGAUAAUGGGAUAUCACGUGAUUCACUUGAUGUAUGUUUUGGUGAUCAACUUGCGGGUUCCGCCCAUGAACCUUGCAUAGGGGUUGGCACACGUUUUCGUCAUGAUUCUCCGGUAGAAACUUUGGGGCACUCUUUGAGGUUCUAUGUGUUGGUUGAAUAGAUGAAUCUGAGAUUGUGUGAUGCAUAUCGUAUAAUCAUGCCCACGGAUACUUGAGGUGACAUUGGAGUAUCUAGGUGACAUUAGGGUUUUGGUUGAUUUGUGUCUUAAGGUGUUAUUCUAGUACGAACUCUAGGGCUGUUUGUGACACUUAUAGGAAUAGCCCAACGGAUUGAUUGGAAAGAAUAACUUUGAGGUGGUUUCGUACCCUGCCAUAAUCUCUUCGUUUGUUCUCCGCUAUUAGUGACUUUGGAGUGACUCUUUGUUGCAUGUUGAGGGAUAGUUAUGUGAUCCAAUUAUGUUAUUAUUGUUGAGAGAACUUGCACUAGUGAAAGUAUGAACCUAGGCCUUCUUUCAACGCAUUGCAAUACCAUUUACGCUCACUUUUAUCAUUAGUUACCUUGCUGUUUUUAUAUUUUUCAGAUUACAAAAACCUAUAUCUACCAUCCAUAUUGCACUUGUAUCACCAUCUCUUCGCCGAACUAGUGCACCUAUACAAUUUGCCUAUGUAUUCGGUGUGUUGGGGACACAAGAGACUCUUUGUUAUUUGGUUGCAGGGUUGUUUGAGAGAGACCAUCUUCAUCCUAUGCCUCCUACGGAUUGAUAAAUCUUAGGUCAUCCACUUGAGGGAAAUUUGCUACUGUCCUACAAACCUCUGCACUUGGAGGCCCAACAACGUCUACAAGAAGAAGGUUGUGUAGUAGACAUCAAGCUCUUUUCUGGCGCCGUUGCUGGGGAGGUGAGUGCUUGAAGGUAUAUCUUUAGAUCUUGUAAUCGAGUCUUUUAGUUUCUUGUUUUAUCACUAGUUUAGUUUAUAAAAGAAAAUUACAAAAAAAUGGAAUUGAGUCUACCUCAUACGCUUCGUAUUUUUAAUAUCUUUCGUGAGUAUGAUGGAAAGGAAAAUUGUGCCAAAGUGUUAGAAGAAGAAUGCAUUAAAAUGUUUGGCACUAAAUCUUUGAAUGAUGAGCAUGAUUGCAAUGUUGUUAGUAUGAACUCCUUGAAUAUCCAUGGUACUAAUGAUGAUUGCACUAGUUAUGAUGAAAAUGACUCUGCUACCUCUUGAGCACUACGUUGGUUUUCCCCGAAGAGGAAGGGAUGAUGCAGCAAAGUAGCGUAAGUAUUUCCCUCAGUUUUUGAGAACCAAGGUAUCAAUCCAGUAGGAGGCUACGCUCGAGUCCCUCGUACCUACACAAAACAAAUAAAUCCUCGCAACCAACGCAAAUAGGGGUUGUCAAUCCCUAUGAGGCCACUUAUGAGAGUGAGAUCUGAUAGAUAUGAUAAAGAUAAUAUUUUUGGUAUUUUUAUGAUAAAGAUGCAAAGUAAAAUAAAGGCAAAGUAAAUAGCAAAGUAGUAGGAGAACAAUAUGAUAAAGAUAGACCCGGGGGCCAUAGGUUUCACUAGUGGCUUCUCUCGAGGGCAUGAGUAUUCUACGGUGGGUGAACAAAUUGCUGUUGAGAAAUUGACAGAAUUGAGCAUAGUUAUGAGAAUAUCUAGGCAUGAUCAUGUAUAUAGGCAUCACGUCCGAAACAAGUAGACCGACUCCUGCCUGCAUCUACUACUAUUACUCCACUCAUCGACCGCUAUCCAGCAUGCAUCUAGAGUAUUAAGUUAAAAACAGAGUAACGCCUUAAGCAAGAUGACAUGAUGUAGAGGGAUAGACUCAUGCAAUAUGAAGAAAACCCCAUCUUGUUAUCCUCGAUGGCAACAAUACAAUACGUGCCUUGCUGCCCUUACUAUCAUUGGGAAAGGACACCGCAAGAUUGAACCCAAAGCUAAACACUUCUCCCAUUGAAGAUCAAUCUAGUAGGCCAAACCAAACUGAUAAUUCGAAGAGACUUGCAAAGAUAACCAAUCAUACAUAAAAGAAUUUAGAGAAUAUUCAAAUAUUGUUCAUAGAUAGACUUGAUCAUAAACCCACAAUUCAUCGGUCUCAACAAACACACCGCAAAAAGAAGAUUACAUCGAAUAGUUCUCCACAAGAGAGGGGAGAACAUUGUAUUGAGAUCCAAAAAGAGAGAAGAAGCCAUCUAGCUACUAACUAUGGACCCGUAGGUCUGAGAUAAACUACUCACACUUCAUCGGAGGGGCUAUGGUGUUGAUGUAGAAGCCCUCCAUGAUCGAUGCCCCCUCCGGCGGAGCUCCGGAACAGGCCCCAAGAUGGGAUCUCGUGGAUACAGAAAGUUACGGUGGUGGAAUUAGGGUUUUGGCUCCUGCCCUAUUCGUUUGGGGGUACGUGGAUAUAUAUAGGAGGAAUAAGUACGUCGAUGGAGCAAUAGGGGGGCCACAAGGGUGGGGGGCGCGCUUGGUAGGGUAGGGCGCGCCCCCCUACCUCGUGGCCUCCUGUUACGUGCCUUGACAUAGGGUCCAACUCUCCCGGGUCUUAUCUGUUGAGAAAAUCAUGUUUACGAAGGCUUCAUUCCGUUUGGAGUCCAUUUGAUAUUCCUUUUUUUCGAAACCCUAAAACAGGCAAAAAAACAGCAAUUCUGGGCUGGGCCUCCAGUUAAUAGGUUAGUCCCAAAAAUAAUAUAAAAGUGGAUAAUAAAGCCCAAUAAUGUCUAAAACAGUAGAUAAUAUAGCAUGGAGCAAUCAAAAAUUAUAGAUACGUUGGAGACGUAUCAGUCUCCUAUAAACAUGUCAAUUUUUGUGGAGUGCAUUGGGUUUGUAAGUACACACCAAAUAGGGAAGAUAGAUAUUGCAUGAGGCAUAAGUACUUAGAAACUAAAUUGUUGCAAGAAAGGCUAGAUGAUUGUGCUGAAAAUUUAAAUUUUCUUGGCCGUACUUGUGAACUUUGCAAUGAACAUGGUCAUUUAGCUAUCUGAUGCAAAUUGUUUCAUGAUCUAAUCGUGUCCAAAAAUUGUGAUGACUUGAUUUCCCUUGCACAUUACAAUGAACUUAGUUUGCUUAUGGGCUACGAAGAAAUGAAACGUAUAACUAAGCAUCUUCCAGAAUUUGCUCGUUAUAAACUUCUUGGUUUUGAUCUAGAGGAAAUUUAUAUGUAUUGUGCGGUGAAUUGUAUUGAAAAUCCUUAUAUUGCCAACUACAUAAAGAAAAUAAAACAAAUAGAAGAUGAAGAGAAUACUAAUGAAAGGGAAGAGACUUCCCAAUACCCUCCUAUUAUUUCUUAUGAUGAAUCAGGUAACGAGGAAGAGCCUCCUAUUCAACCAAUCUCAUUAAUAAGGAGCUCCAAAAAGAGGAUUGAACCCACACAUGAUGUGGUGAAGAAGAAGAAAAGAAAAAGGAAGAGAGGUAAAAAGAUAUCUCCCCCAAAUAAUGUUGCUCCUAUUACUAUUGUGCCUCAUGAAAAUAUAAUUGUGGAAGCUAAUGAUACUUCUUAUGAUCUUGAAAAUCUUUUUGGCACUUGCUUGGAAGAAUAUGAUAAUUGCUAUACUAUUGGUGCUAUCCAUACUAUUAAUGAUGAGAGUGAUUAUGCUUAUGAUAUGAAAAGGCCCAAGCUUUGGGAUGCUAUGUUUGAUGAAGAUGAUGUUUUUGAGAAUAUAUUUGCUGCAAUUAAUGUUUGUCCCAAGCUUGGGGAUGCUACGUUUAAUGAAGAUGAUAUUUUUAGUCUCCCAAAUUUUGAUGUGCAAAUUUACAAUGAUGAUAGCAUGCCUCCUACCUGUGAUGAUUAUUGUGAUGAUACUUAUGCUAUAAAUAGUAGUGAUUAUAUUUAUAAAACUUGUCAUGCUUAUGAUUACCCCUUUUCUAAACAUUACUCUUUUAAUAUGGAAACAAUUUAUAGUAUUAGAGUCUUUUAUGAUACUCCCACUAUUCCGAAUGAGAAGAAUUUUGCUUAUGUGGAGAGUAAUACAAAUUCUAUGCUUGUAGAUCAUGAAAAGAAUGCUUUAGGUGCUGGUUAUAUUGUUGAAUUCAUUCAUGAUGCUACUGAAAAUUAUUAUGAGGGAGUAAUAUAUGCUUGUAGGAAUUGCAAUAAUAUCAAGUUUCCUCUCUAUGUGCUUAAAAUUUUGAAGUUAUGCUUGUUUUACCUUCCUAUGCAAGUUGAUUCUUGUUCUCAUAAGUUGUUUGCUCACAAAAUCCCUAUGCAUAGGAAGUGGGUUAGACUUAAAUGUGCUAGUCAUAUUCUUCUUGAUGCUCUCUUUAUGUUUCAAUUCUUAUCUUUUAUGUGAGCAUCAUUGAAAUCAUCACGCCUAGCUAAGGGCGUUAAACGAUAGUGCUUGUUGGGAGGCAACCCAAUUUUAUUUUUGUUCCUUGUUUUUUGUUCCUGUUUAGUAAUAAAUAAUUCAUCUAGCCUCUGUUUAUAUGUGGUUUUAUGCUUUUAAUUAGUGUUUGUGCCAAGUAGAACCUUUUGGAAGACUUGGGGAAAGUCUUUUUAAUCUUGCUGUAAAAAAUAGAAACUUUAGCGCUCACGAGAAUUGCUGCCAUUUUUAUUUGGAAAGUGAUUAAUUAUUUUUGCAGAUGAUUAAUAGAUAAAUUUCUCACGUCCAGCAAUUUAUUUGAGAAUUUUAUGAGUUCCAGAAGUAUACGUUUGAUCCAGAUUACUACAGACUGUUCUGUUUUUGACAGAUUCUGUUUUUGAUGUGUUAUUUGCUUAUUUUGAUGAAUCUAUGAGUAGUAUCGGAGGGUAUGAACCAUAGAUAAGUUGGAAUAAAUUAGAUAUUACACAAAUAUGAAUUUAUAAUGAGUUCACAACAGUAUCUAAGUGGUUAUUUAUUUUCUUAUACUAAC
rnacentral:lncRNA from 1 species